rnacentral:lncRNA from 1 species
CAAACACACAUGUAAUUAUUUUAGUUUUGCAGAAAAAAGGCUGUGCUGAUGAUGAUACACAUGUAGACACAUACACACAUGUAUAGACCCAGACACAGAAACUUUAUUACUGUUGAUCGAUGGCAUAUGAUGUUAGGUGCUUUAUUAUAUUUUAAUUUCUUUCCAGGAUGGUGUUUUCAGAAUUGAUCGUUUAGAGGCUCUAGCAGCAGAGGUAUUCUUCUGAUUUGAUUUUAAAUUUUGUGUUGCACUAAUUUUGGUUUUGUUUUGGUUCGCUUUAUUAAUAUCAACUGAGAGCCAACCAGCAGAAACUUAUUUAACUUGAAAUUACCUUCUCUCUUUGCAUUUAUUAAAAAAACUUCUAUUAUACUAGGUAGAUGUUCUGGUGGUAUGAGUAUAAACACACAACAUGCAGUACCACGAAAAUAUAUAAGAAUUCCGGGUUAUUAUUUUUAUUGUUGUAAAUGUGUACAGUUAAAAUUCUUUUUGGCAGUAUUUAUUACCUUCAAAUAUAUUAUUUGAUGUAUAAACAAUUUUGUUUAAACUGCAUAUUUACCUUCUAUCUUUGCAUUCCUUAGGUUGAACCUUUUUCUCCUAUUGAUAAGGUUAGGUUGAUUUAUGUCUUUAAGAAAUUCGUAAUAUUAAUCUAGAUUACCUCUACUAGGCUACUUAACCCCUAUCGUAUAGCUAAAUCAGCUAGCUGACUGGGUAGCACACCUUUUCAAUUAUUAAUAUUAACACUUAUUUAAUAAGCAAGAUCACUUAUAUGUCCACUAGAAAAUACUGUAAUAUGCACUAUUUUCUCUUAGGCUUUAUAUCAAUUUCUAACAUUGUAGUAUUGUACAAAUUCUUCUUGUUGGGUCUGUAAAACAGUUCAGAUCAUUUUGAUGAUAAAAAGCUUGAUCUGUAUUACCGAGAAAGUAUACGGUUCGAGUCCGUAUAGCCCUAGAGCCCUAAAAAAAUGAAAAUAACAAAAAAAUUGUAUAAUUGGUUUUUCCCCAUUCUAGUUUGUUGGUAUAUUUUCUAGUUAAUCUGUUCCAUUGGCUGAAUUACUCGGAACAUGAUAUACUAUUACCUCAGGCUCUACGUGCCAGAACAGAGGAGACCUUGGGCACUAGUAAACCAGAAGAUGGUGAUGUUAAGGUUGUGAUCAAGCAAAUCCUUGCCUUCGUGUUAACUGAGAAGGUGUGAUAUACUCUGGGAACUGUCUAUAGUUGUUUAGACUUGAUUGCAAAUUAACCUGAAAAUGUUAUAAAACUAUUGCAGGGUACCUUCGUGAGAGAAUUACUUGUUCAAGAAUUGGCCAAGGUAAGGCAUUCAGGCAUCUUUAUGUCAUAUCAUGUGAAUCAAUACAUUUUUUCCAAAUUAAAAAAUUGUAUAGAGAAUGGAACCACAAUUAUUUGCUAUUAUACCUAGUUUUAACUCUUUUCACUUGAGUUAUCUUAUAAAUUCUUGGCUCUAUUUUGCUGUAUAUUGGUGACCGCGUCUAUUUAGGACAACAUUGUAUUAGGUUUUCUUCAAAAUAUUAAAAUUUUGCCCAGUUGCAAAUACACACACACACACACACACACAAACACAUAUAUAUCAAAUAUCAAGUCAUCACAAAAGUAGAAUCCACGAUGAAUAACAAUAAAUUAACAUUAAAAUCUCUUCUCAAAUUUGCAUAAUAGAAUAUCCAAACAGCUGCGCACUCUUAAUAAUAAAAUGAAUAUCUUGGUGUAAUCUAAGGUAUGCUAUGAAAUUGAUCUUACAAGCAAUUUGAGUGUUGGAAGCUCGAUAGAUAUGUAAUCUAAGGUAUGCUAUUAAAUGCUGAACUGGAUAUGUUACCACUGAGAUCACCAUGCUCCACACAUUCUUCUAACCUAUUUUGUCCCGUGAAGUUUUUCAGUAAGGUCAGAAUAAAUAAUUCGAUAUUACUUAAAUAACUUAUUUUAGACCUGAAUGCUGUUGCAUUAGUCGAACUAGAGCCUUAUUGUUUUUGCAAAUUAUACAAGGGACUGGAUGCACUGGGGCUAGCCACUCUGGAUUCAGUGACAUCGGCAGCAGCAUCAAAUCUACCUUUUGGCUCAUCAAUCUCCAUAUCUUUAAUGAAAGAUGAAGAUGUAGUUAACUUAAGAAACUUGUAUCGGCUUUUGCACUUAAUGCAAGGAGUCCGGAAUGAUGAAAGAACAUCAGUGGUAAGAAGAACGAGGUGGUUAUAUUUGUGAAAGAAUAAAGCAAUGCACUAUAAUUCGAACUUUUUCACUAAUCACGUAUAUUCUUGACUAUUUUUCUGAAAUUAUAUUGUUCAACAAAAUUGCCAAUUCAGAAAGACUGGCAGGUCCACUUUGUUCUAGUCAUGAAGUGAUUAAGGAACUCAUUAGAGCACUACUGGUUUGGUAAAAGAAGUAGACUUGAUCAUCUGAAACUGAAUUGCGGGUACUUUCUUGUAGGAAGCUAAAGUUGAUGGACCACCUCAGAUGAGCCAGAAAGCAUACCCAGAGGUAGCUUUAGCUGUUGAUCAGUUUUCUCCUGUUCAAGAUAUACUACCUCUCCUAUCUAUUAUUCUUGAGGUGAGUAUAGAGUGUGUGUGCAUAUACCUAGUCAACAUUGAAGCGCCAUCCUCUAAAUUAAUAGUGUAUUCAUAUUUGAUGAUGUUUAUAUUGAUCAUAACACACCAACAUAGAAUCUAGAUGUGAAUGCAGUGAAAAUUUCAUCAAACAACCAGUUCUAGGAAAAUAUUUCUCAGACAUUCCCUAAUUUAGCUUAAGAGUUCUAUACGCGGUUGUUAAACUUUUUAGCAGUACAGUAAUCUUUUGUGAUAAUUCCCCAGAAGAAGAGGGUUCCAAGAAUGAUCAAAAAAUUUCUCUUCUUGUUUAUAAUCUGUUUCAUUAUCUUACAUUCUUAAUUGUCAACUUGAACAAAAUCUGUCAUGCGUUUUAUUUUGAAUUUGGUGUGACGUCCAAAAAUAAAUCCCUAAAUUUAAAAAUAGUUCAAUGUUUUGAAGAAAAUGGUGUCAUGAAGUUUGAUGGCUAUUAAAAGAAAAGAUAGUUAUCUUUUAAGAUGAGUGGACAAAUUUCAAUAAAACGUAGAAGGCCAGUUCCAAAAUUAUACCAAAUCCAGCCUCCUCUUAGCUCUGAAGAGAAUUAUACCAAAUCCAGCCUCCUCUUAGCACUGAGAGAAUUAUAACAAAUCCAGCCUCCUCUUAGCACCGAGAGAAUGUUUAACAUGGCNNNNNNNNNNNNNNNNNNNNNNNNNNNNNNNNNNNNNNNNNNNNNNNNNNNNNNNNNNNNNNNNNNNNNNNNNNNNNNNNNNNNNNNNNNNNNNNNNNNNNNNNNNNNNNNNNNNNNNNNNNNNNNNNNNNNNNNNNNNNNNNNNNNNNNNNNNNCUUCUACACACACACACACACACACACACACACACUACACCCACCACACACACACACACACACACACACCCCACCACCAUUAGAGAACAGGGGCAGUGUGAUUGGAAAUGAUCAUGUUUGUGUAUAGAAGUUUUAGAUAUAAUUAUUGAAACACGUGCUUUUUCUGUUUCAUGGAUUGACCUGAUUGACGGGAUUCAAAUUUUAUGAUCCCUCUGGCCUGUGCUAUGAAAGUUGAAACUGUAUCAAUUUUCUUAAGUAUAUGCUAAGUAAUUAACGUUACUAUAUGAUUAAUAUGAUUUUAUUGUAAAGAUUACUAAAGCUUGAGGUGUAAUAUCCACAGCUUCCUCUGGAUGGGCAGCGACAACUAUUAUUUUUGCCAGCUGAUCUUACUGGAAAGUUAAUUAACCGUGUUACAGCAAGGACAUUAAGGAGGGUUUUCCUGUAAAAUGGAAUAGAUUUAUAGUCCUUUGUCUAUCCUUCCCCCACGCCCACCGAUGCUGUUCUAUUGUUGCAGACUUGCGGUCACGUUAUAUAUGUUCAGUUUGCAUCACUGAUUGCACUAAGCACAACACUUGGUCCUGAUGAGGUCACUAUUGCAGACAUUCUUGAAGUUUUGUAUAUACAGAUUUAUGUAUACAACAUGUCAUGUGUCAUGUGUGUAUCCACGAAUCCAAGAGAAGAUGAAACAUCAUAGUGUUAACAAGGAAACAGUGAAAUUUUGCACAAGUGUAUAUGCAGUUUCAAUUGUACAAUCAUCUCUUAUUUAAAGCUACAGUGAGCACCUAGCUAUCAUAUCCAGCUAAUUGAAGUUUGUACUUUGUAACACUUCCGGAUAACGCUAUCUGCAAAUUGUCUAUUCAUCAUCAGCCAUUGAUCUAAUCAUAAAAUUGUAUAAAGUUUUUCCUAUGCUUUGAAGAGAUUGUUUUAAUUCUAUACGAGCCUAGUAUAGGUUGUCUAAAUUUUUGGACGGAGUACACAAUACUAAUGAUUGAAUUCGAAACUGAUUCAAUAUACGGUUUUAAAAAUUAUCUCAACCAGAGAUGUCUUUCUUUUUUUUUCUUGAUUUAAACAUUGUUAAAUUGUGAGAGUAAUAUUUACAAUUAGGCCAAAAAUACACUUUUUCUGUAAACAGAACCUAGAGAUCAAUUCUUGACUGUUGUUCGCUGCUAAAAUAAUACUGCUCCCGAGUUCUGAAGAAAAGAAAGGAAGAGUGAAUAAAAUUUCAAAAAAAAAAAUAAAAAAUCCUAGAUCAUGGUCACGGGUUUUUUUCAAAAAAGAAGAAAUCCGUAUUGAAAAUUAUAACAAAUUCCUAUCUGUUGUGAAAACAAUUAAUGAUGAGGGUGAUUGUCAAUGAUACAUAAACCCUCCAGCUCAAGUUUGCAUUACCAAUACACGCUCGUCAAGUUACUAGCUGUAAAAACACGGAACAGAGUUAAUGUAUUCACACACAUGACGCGGUGAAAUUGUCCUAUAAAUUGGACACUGCAUAGCCAUUAAGCAGUACUUGUACGGAGAAUCAUAAGAAAUAAAAUUACUCUCUCUUGCUUCUACAGAAUACUAGUUAUAUUUAUAUUAAUAGUUAUAGUUAAUUUAUAACACGUUAUCAGCACGAGUCUCUGCCCGAGUUUUAUUUCGACAAAGGAGUACAAAAUUUUAUCCGGGUUUAUUUCGACAAAGGAGUACAAAAUUUUAUCCGGGUUUAUUUCGACAAAGGAGUACAAAAUUUUAUCCGAGGUUUAUUUCGAUAAAGGAGUACAAGAUUUUAUCCGGGAUUUAUCUCAACGGAGAAGAAUGGCGAAUCUUGCAAAAUUAGAGUUCGUUGCCUUGGAUGUUUCGGGAAAUAAUUAUUUGUCAUGGGUCCUUGAUGCGGAAUUACACCUUAGUGCUAAUGGCCUAAAAGAUACUAUUGACCCAGAAAAAAUCCCAACUGUUGAACAAAAUGCAAAAGCAAUUAUCUUUCUUAGGCAUCACAUCCACGAAGACCUAAAAUCUGAAUACCUCACUAUCAAAAAUCCACACACCCUUUGGAAUAAUCUCAAGGAUAGAUUUGAUCACCAGAAACUUGUUCACUUGCCAUCUGCCCGAUAUGAAUGGAUUAAUUUGAGGCUACAGGAUUUCAAAUCUGUAGCUGAAUAUAAUUCUGCCCUUUUCAAGAUAAGCUCAAAAUUAAUUUUAUGUGGUGAAAAUAUUACUGAUGCUGAAAUGAUUGAAAAGACCCUCUCAACCUUUCACCCCAACACUAUGAUCCUGGCUCAACAAUAUAGGGAGCGGAAUUUUCAGAAAUAUGGCGAGCUGAUAUCUCUCCUUCUUGUGGCUGAAAAGAAUAAUGAGUUGUUAUUGAAAAACCAUCAGAUACGUCCCACAGGCUCUGCCCAGUUACCUGAAGUACAUAACACGUCAUUCCAGAAGAAUGAACGUGGGAAAGGGCAUAGAGGAGGACGAGGUUAUGGACGAAACCGUGGACGUGGAAGUUUCCGUGGUCGGUCUCGCAAUCAAUAUCAUUCUGGCCACCUGAAGUGGCAACGUGAUGGUUACAACUCUGGCCACCAGAAGUGGCAACGUGAUAAUUACAACAAGUGCCAACGUGAAGUGUCAAACAAAAGAAAGGCACCUCAAGAAGGAGAGAAACGAGACAUAUGUCAUAGAUGUGGAACUGAGGGACACUGGCAACGUACUUGUCGCACACCCAAACAUCUUGUUGAUCUCUACGAGUCGUUCAAAAGGAAUACUGGAAAGAGAGUGGAAACAAACUUUGCUAAUUAUAAUCUAGUUAAUGAACCAGUCAGUAAGGCCUCAAAUGAAACAGACACUGGUGCUAAUCUUUAUUAUGGUUUAGACGACUAGGCUUCAUAUGUAUUGUCUUACUUUAUUUAUUUCCUUUGUGUUUUAUGUGUUUCCAUUAUGUACUCGUUUUAUGAACUUGUUUCGUGUUGUUGUUCUAUGUAUUCGGUGUGUUUUUAAUAAAGAUGUUUUUUUCGUUUAUUUAUGUGUAUAGAGAUGGAAGAUAUAUGCAUUGUUGACUGCGCAACCACACACACUAUUUUACAGAGUCAAAAAUACUUCUCACAGUUGACUAAAACCAACUCACAUGUCUGGACGUUAUCGGGUACAUCAAAUAUAGUAGAAGGUUUUGGGAAAGCUAGUUUUAUUCUACCAAAUAAGACACACAUACACAUACAAGAGGCUCUAUACUCUAGCAAGUCAACUAGAAACCUACUGAGUUUUAAAGAUAUUCGUCUUAAUGGGUUUCACGUUGAAACUACUAAUGAGAAUGAAAAAGAAUACCUUCUCAUCACCUCAAACACCGUUGACAAUAAAAAGGUCCUAGAAAAAUUUCACUCGGUUUCUUCGGGAUUAUAUAUUACGAGUAUACGAGUUAUUGAAUCUCAUAGUGUCAACAUCCCCAAAGUCAUAGAUCCAAAACUACUUUCCCUUUGGCACGAAAGACUUGGUCAUCCAGGAGUAUCUAUGAUGCGUCGUAUCGUUGAAAAUUCUGUAGGACAUCCUCUUAAAACACAAAAGAUAAUACCCCAAGAUGAACUUCAUUGUUCAGCAUGUUCCUUAGGAAAACUGAUUGUCCGACCAUCCCCAGUUAAGCUUCAAACUGAGUCCCCGAAAUUCUUAGAAAGAAUUCAAGGUGACAUCUGUGGUCCUAUUCAUCCAUCUUCUGGCCCAUUUAGGUACUUUAUGGUAUUAAUUGAUGCGUCAACUAGAUGGUCCCAUGUAUGUCUACUUACAACCCGAAACACAGCCUUUGCCAAAUUACUUGCCCAAAUCAUUAAACUCCGAGCUCAAUUUCCUGAUCAUCCCAUUAAAUCAAUCCGACUAGAUAAUGCUGCUGAAUUUACAUAUGCAACUUUUAAUGAUUAUUGUAUGUCAGUAGGAAUCUCAGUCGAACACCCGGUAGCUCACGUACAUACACAAAAUGGUUUAGCAGAAUCCUUAAUCAAAAGACUUCAACUUAUUGCCCGUCCUUUACUCCUAAGAGCAAAGUUACCUAUAUCUGUUUGGGGUCAUGCAAUACUUCAUGCGGCAAAUAUAAUUAGAAUAAGGCCUUCUGCUUACCACAAACAAUCCCCUCAAGAAUUGGUUCUUGGUCAAGUACCUAAUAUCUCUCAUUUAAAAGUAUUUGGUUGUGCUGUGUAUGUUCCUAUAUCACCACCACAAAGAACUAAAAUGGGACCUCAAAGAAGAAUCGGUAUAUAUGUUGGUUUUGAUUCUCCGUCUAUUAUAAGGUAUCUGGAACCAUUGACUGGUGAUGUUUUUACUGCUCGGUAUGCUGAUUGUCAUUUUGAUGAAUCUAUGUUCCCUACAUUAGGGGGAGAUAAAAUUUUGCAUAAAUUAAAUUCAGAAAUAUCAUGGAAUGCCUCAGGAUUAAAUGCUAUUGAUCCACGUACUAAACAAUGUGAAUCUGAGGUUCAAAGAAUUAUACAUAUGCAAAAUAUUGCUAAUCAAAUGCCAGAUGCUUUUAAUGAUUCUAGAAAUAUUGUGAAGUCAUAUAUACCUGCUGUUAAUGCUCCGGCCAGGAUUGAAAUCCCUGGCAAUAAAUCAAUUUCAGAGGAAUUGAUUGGUGAUUCAAAGCCACGCCAAAAGCGUGGUAGACCUAUUGGUGCAAAAGAUAUUGUACCAAGAAAACGGAAAUUGAUUGGAAUUGCCCCAGAAGUGGCAAAAGUUUCAGAAAAUACCCCAGAAGUGGUAUUGCCUCCUGAAGAGGUUCAAGCCCCUGAAGUGGCUGUAACAAAACCUCCUGAAGAGGAAAUUGCCCCAGAAGUGGCACAUGCCCCAGAAGUGGCAAAUGCUUCCAUAGAAGCAAAGGUACCUAAGAAUUAUGAGAUCUCAAUGAAUUAUGUACAUAACGGGAAAUUAUUGGAUCGUGAGAGUACUGAAAUUGAUGACGUGUAUGCUUUUUCCGUGGCAUUUGAUAUUAUUAUGAACUCUGAUCCUGAACCACAAAGUGUGGAAGAAUGUCGACAAAGAGAUGAUUGGCCAAAAUGGAAAAUUGCAAUUCAAGAAGAAUUGCAAUCAUUGCGCAAAAGAAAUGUAUUUGGACCUGCAGUCCAAACACCAGCUGGUGUAGUCCCUGUUGGGAAUAGAUGGGUAUUUGUACGAAAACGAAAUGAGAGAAAUGAAAUUGUAAGAUAUAAAGCCCGGCUUGUAGCUCAGGGAUUCUCUCAAAGACCUGGUUUUGAUUACCAGGAAACAUACUCUCCUGUGAUGGAUGGAGUUACCUUCCGUUUUCUAAUAGGUAUGGCUUGUAUGGAAAAACUAGAAACACGUUUGAUGGACGUCGUGACAGCGUACCUAUAUGGAUCACUUGAUAGUGAUAUUUAUAUGAAAAUCCCUGAAGGAUUAAAUAUAGAGGACACUAAGCCUCGACAUUUAUAUUCAGUUAAAUUACAACGAUCAUUGUAUGGUUUGAAACAAUCUGGUCGUAUGUGGUACAACAGGCUUAGUGAAUACUUAUUGAAUGAUGGAUAUGUUAAUAAUCAAGUGUGUCCUUGCAUUUUCAUUAAACGAUCAUCAGCUGGUUUUGUUAUUAUUGCUGUAUAUGUGGAUGAUUUGAAUAUUAUCGGUACUACUGAAGAUAUUACUAAUGCUGCUAACUAUUUGAAAAAUGAGUUUGAAAUGAAAGAUCUUGGAAAGACAAGAUUUUGUUUAGGUAUACAGGUGGAGCACUUAUCUUCAGGAAUAUUUGUUCAUCAAUCAAGCUACACUGAAAAGAUUCUUGAUCGGUUCUACAUGGACAAAGCUCAUCCACUAACCACACCAAUGGUUGUUCGAUCACUUGAGGUUGAAAAGGAUCCUUUCCGUCCUAGAAAGAAAGAUGAAGAGGCUCUUGGACCUGAGACUCCAUAUCUCAGUGCAAUUGGCGCCCUCAUGUAUCUCGCAAACAACACACGACCUGAUAUUGCAUUCGCAGUGAACCUGUUAGCAAGAUUUAGUUCUGACCCUACUAAAAGGCAUUGGGAUGGAAUCAAGCAUAUAUUCAGAUAUCUUCGGGGUACAAUUGAUCUUGGGUUAUUCUUUCCAAACAGUUCAAGAUCACAACUAACUGGAUAUGCAGAUGCUGGAUACAUGUCAGAUCCUCACUUUGGACGAUCACAGACUGGUUAUUUGUUUACAUAUUGUGGUACUGCUAUUUCUUGGAAGUCUACAAAACAGACUAUGGCUGCAACUUCAUCAAACCACGCAGAGUUAUUAGCAAUUCAUGAAGCAAGCAGAGAAUGUAUUUGGCUAAGGUCUGUCAUUCAACAUAUUCGAGGAUCAUGCGGAUUAUCAGGAAUCUCAAAUAGCCCCACAGUAGUAUUUGAAGACAACUCAGCCUGCAUUAAACAACUAAAGGAAGGAUAUAUUAAAGGAGAUCGAACAAAACACAUAUUGCCAAAAUUCUUCUACACUCAUGAACUUCAGGAAAAUGGUGAUAUUGAUGUACAGCAAGUCCGAUCAUGCGAUAAUCUGGCGGACAUACUUACGAAGUCACUACCUACAUCAACAUUUGAGAAGCUGCGAAAUAAUAUGGGUAUGCGGAGGUUAAAAGGUUUACUACAUCAAGAUGUCAACAUGUGAGAUAUUUUAUUCAGGGGGAGGCUGUACUCUUUUUCCUUCGUCAAGGUUUUUAUCCCAUUGGGUUUUUCCUUGCAAGGUUUUAACGAGGCAGCUAAUCUUUGUAAAUGACUCACAUUGACAAUCAAGGGGGAGUGUUGUGAAAACAAUUAAUGAUGAGGGUGAUUGUCAAUGAUACAUAAACCCUCCAGCUCAAGUUUGCAUUACCAAUACACGCUCGUCAAGUUACUAGCUGUAAAAACACGGAACAGAGUUAAUGUAUUCACACACAUGACGCGGUGAAAUUGUCCUAUAAAUUGGACACUGCAUAGCCAUUAAGCAGUACUUGUACGGAGAAUCAUAAGAAAUAAAAUUACUCUCUCUUGCUUCUAAAGAAUACUAGUUAUAUUUAUAUUAAUAGUUAUAGUUAAUUUAUAACACUAUCCAAAAUUUUCCUCCCAAAAAUGGGAUGAUUAAAAGAUAAGUUCACACAUUUCUUGUUUUCAAAAUUCUCUCCUUUCUCACGAAAACUCAGUGGAGAAAGUCAAAGAUGGUACUAGUGCAGUAGUGCUCAUCAUUUCAUACUACAAUCAGUAAGUUGAGUAUCAUUUCAGAAAAAGAUCAUUGGACACAUUGUGAGAAAUAAUGGCUCCUUAUAAUCUCCAGAUUCCGCACCUACACCACCACAGAAACCUUAUAUUGCAAGAAUACAUUUAGACCGAGUUUGUGACCACUUCACACUAAUGAAUCAAUGUGAUAAUGCUAUAUAUGCAUAUUUUAAAGUAAAUUUGAAUCAUAUAAACUAUUGGUGUGUUUGAGCUUUAAAUAAUGACAUUAUUAUCUUUGAUUCCAUUCGACAUGUAAGAGCAUUCUCAUUUGGAACCCUAUCCUCAACCCCAAAAACUUACUAAAAAUAGUAAUUCCUCAAAAUAUUUAACAAAUUUUCAAAAAUUUCUUCCAACCCGUUCCCCAUAUUCAAACCUUAUUCUCAUUCUUUUUAUUAAACCUUGUUCUCUUUUACUUAUAAUUUCAAUUUUUAUUUUUUAUGUUUUUAUAUAUUUAUAUGUUUCAUUAUUUUUAUUAUAUUUAACAUUUUUCAAAUAAUUUUAAAUUUUUUUUAAAAAAAAAAUUAGUUUUAAUAUUGAAAUUAUAAUUCAAUAAUUUAAUAUUAUUAAUAUACAUGUGAGAACUUGCACCAAAUUAAAAAAAUUUAUAACACAAAACAUGAAUAUCUAAUAAAAUAAUAAUGAAAUGUAUGAUGAAUAGUGUAUGAGGGAUGAAUAGUGAAACCCCAAAUAUGAGGAUUUAGUUUGAGUCCCCAAAACUAAACCCUAUUUUGGGUUCCUGAUGUGGAAUGCAUUUCCACCAAAAUUAACAAAUUUCUUUAAAAUAUAGGGAUGGGGUUGGGUUUGAGGGAUUGAUUGUGAAUGCUCUAAACUGACAAAACUUUGAGGAUGUCUAGACAGAACCAGGAAGCAAGAGGCCUUCACUAAAAUCCCCGCAAAAUCAAGCAACAGUUGACUGUUCACAUCUGGAAUAGUAUGCUAUUCCCUAACCAAUUCAUCAACCUUCUCUUGUUGUGCUCUCUGUAAUUUAGAAGAACGCCUCUCCUCAUAUGAUGCUGGUAGACAUUCAAUCAUAAUUAAAUAUUGAGCAAUAUAACAAAUGGAAGAAUCCUGGUUCAUGAAAGAUAUCGAUAAUUCUAUAGGUGUUUCAUUGUUCAACAGAAGAAUAUACUUCAUUUUUUAGGUAUAGAUGGUAAUUCAAGUCCAGUAUGAUUCUAGCAACAUGAUAUAAGACACUUAACAUAAAAAAUUUUGAUUACUGAGUACACAGGUUUGUGUCACUGUUUUUCAGUUUGAGGGCAAAUAAGAAAAUAACACAAGAGGCAUAUAUUAGUUGAAUCUCUGCAAAAAAAUAAUAAAGGAUAGUACUCACGUUCAGUUGGUCGCGACAAAAGCGGAAUAUGUAUAACCGCCUUCUUUUUCACUGGAGAACUCGAUCUGCUGUCAUCUGAAAAUCAACGAGUGCUCUUAGUAGAGAACUUGAAAUGAAACGAGGACAUUCUUUAUAGUUUAUACCAAUAAAAUGCAGUGAAGCUGAACUAACCAAUUUCAGCAAGUGAACAGCUACGCAGAGCCUCAUGAAAAAUAGCAGCUUGGAGUUUGUGACUCCGGCAUUCCUUUUGAAAGUGCAGCUGCAAAGCCUGUCUGUCAUCUGCAGUUAUAUAUCCAUACACAUUACACGCUCAUGUAUAUUAGCCACUUAAAUUCUCGGACAACAAGUGAAAAAGGAAGGAAAAAGUAAGGGGGGGAAGGGGGAGAGAGAGAACACAUUACACGCUCAUGUAUAUUAGCCACUUAAAUUCUCGGACAACAAGUGAAAAAGGAAGCAAAAAGUAAGGGGGGGGGAGAGAGAGAGAGAGAGAGAGGGAGAGGGAGAGGGAGAGGGAGAGGGAGGGAGGGAGGGAGGGAGAGGUAGAGGGAGAGAGAGCAUCACCAUAAAUGUGGGGAUAGGGGGGAGACUAGAGAGGGAGGGGGAGUGAGUGAGUGAGAGAGAGAGAGAGAGAGAGAGAGAUGACAUGUUGGGCAUGGGCAUAUACAGACUUAAAUGCAAUUGAAUUUGAUAGUUAAAUUUGCAAUGACAAAUAAAUAGCAAUCCUUGCUCAAGUACCUCUGGUGCACUUGAAUUUGAGACCUUCAAACUCACAGGUUUGAAGAACCAAUGGCAUCUCUGGAGCCAUAUUGUACUGAGGUUUUCUUGAUAUCUUGUCAACAUCAAGUAAGACAUCUAAUACCUACAAUCAAAAGUUAAACAUUUCGAAUCAGAUGUCACUACAACACAAACUAGAAAGUUGCUACUUAAAUUGCCAGUUGCACAAUGACCCUUAAAGCAGGUAAGUAUUAGAAAAUUUUCCAAAAUGUAUGAGAAAAAGUGCAUGCAACUAAUCAACUACCUUAACAUACUCUGCAUGACUGAACAUAUAUAUGUGUGUCACUUAGGCAUUUCUUGUUGUCCAUAUGCUGAAAUAAAUAUACCACUAACAAUCUAGAAACCAGUGAAGGCAAAAAUGAAUGAUAAAUAUAGUCAAAAAGACUAAUUGCCUAUAGUGCACUUACAACACUUGAUCAUUUGUCUAUUUAUCAGUUAUCCUUAUUAAAUCAUAGGCAUUCAAAUUGGUAUGGAUAUAUGCGGAUAAUUAUUGAAGAUUUGCAAGAUGGUGUUGAGUAUGUGAAGGUUACAAAGUAAAUGACAAGGUUCCUCAUCAUAUUGCACAAAGAACAUAUUAAAUGCAUAGAUAUAUAAGACUUAUCAAAUUCACUAAAGGGCAUCAAUCACGCACAUCAGGGGAUUCAAGACCCUCUCCUAUCAUAAAUAGUACAGCAACCAUGCAGCGGACCUGAUGCCAUAAGAAAGCACUACCUUUGAUUCUAAUCGACCACAGCUCAUCAUCCUGGAAUCUGCCAAAAAUCAGAGUUUUAACAUAUUACAGCCUGGCAUAGUUAUACAAAAUUCAAAAAUCUACACUGCUCAUACUAAAUUUAUACAAGCAAUAGCUCACUCGAACACAGCUACCAAAACAAUAUCAGCAGAUCUGAGAAACUAAUUUAUAACAAAUUCGAACAAGCAAAAGGAUAUCGGAUAUUAGGUCGUGACACUUAUUUAACAAAAACAAUAAUUAUACUGAUUGAUUUGUUUAUAAUUACAAAUCAGGUCAUCAGUACUCAUUGUGACUCAGUAGUGGGCCGAGUGGCUGCUCUUCCCAGGGUCACAGGUAUUUUCAUCUCUAUUCUAUCUUCUUUCUGAUUCUGACCCGUCAAUAAAAGAAAUAUAAAAUUAAUGGAGAAAGUGAAGAAUUUAUUUUUUUUAAGAUUUUAAAGAACCUUGGUCAUUUAAUUGUUAAGUUGUUCAAAAUAUUUAAAGUGGCAGAGAGAGAUAAAAGAUCGAUAAAGAGGUUCACGUAAAAGUUGUUUCGAGGAAAUGUAAUGACACAUAUGUAGAUAGACAAAUUUAGACAUUUUAAAUGGGCGACUCAAAGAAUGCAGUGGUUUUUGAAACUUUGGAGCCUAGUUUUGGCCAAAAGAAAAGAUGAUCAAUGAAGUGACAUUGUGGUAUAACUAUGGGAUGGCGGCAGGAGUGUAAUUUGUUUUUAAAGCAUUAGCAACAAUCAACUUUAGUCCCUUGUACGAAACUAAAUAAUAUCACUUGCAUUCCUGCCUUGCAAAAAUAAAAAUCUUAUUUCAUUAGAACUGAGUGAAAAACUUAAAUUCAUACCAUCACACAAUUUAUGUAUUAAAAGAGCAUGAGAUUUGCAUAUAAACGGAUCAGCAAAAGAUACACUUAUAACAGUUCGUCCCAAGUUAAAGACAAGCCAAGGAAACACUUGAGAGACAGAUAGGAGGAAACUCUGUUCUACAAACCUUUCGCCAAAAGGGCAGAUUUCAAACAAUGUAAUAUGCCUCCUAAAGUUAUGCACAUUAGCUGCAUCCAUCUUACAAAAAUUUCUAAAAUCAUGUUCCCCAACAAGUUUUUUGCUGGCAGAAUCCAUGGCCUGAAAACAUGAACAGAAGUUGGAAUAAAGAGAUUGAGUUGGAGGUGCUACAGUGGUGGGUCAUGAAAGUGCGCAUUCAAUUAAAUUGAUACGUGAACUACAUUACAGUUACCACUGUGUUCAGAUUGGCUUUCCAGAAGAAGUACUUGUACUCUCUACUCCGACAACUAAACCUGCAAUUAGAAGUAGUUUGAAUUUCUGUUGAAACACUACAUUCUGUGUAAAAAUAUAUGAAAGAAUCAUACAGCUGUAUAAUGGUAAGUUCAAAAGAAGAGCUGAGAGGAUAUCUAAUAAAACACUAUCGACACACUUCUAACACCUAAAACGUCUUCAUAAGUACUUCUGAAGGACUGAUCCAAUCUCAAGUAGUGUAUAGUAGUAGACUGUUAGGAAGUAUCCUUAACAAUAUAUUUAGCAGUCUAGCAAUGUGUGUAGACAUAGCAAGGGUAGUUGAGUAAUUACACUACAUUGCAUGUGCACCUGCACAUGAGUGAUAGUAUAGAUACCUAUUCAAGUCUUACUUUCAGAGUGUGCCCUCCCUUCCUCUAUAUUUCUCUCUCCCUCCCCCUCCCCCUCUCUCUCGGGUUUUUCUCCCUAUUCUAUCUCUCUAAGCUCUGACUCUAAUCUCUCUAGUUCUCUCAAACUCUCUCUCUGUUUCUCAUCUCAUUUCUCUCAAUGCUACUGCUAUCUCUUGUUUACUACAUCUCAAUACGAUACAAUCUGUAAAACACCAAAAAUGCACAUAUAAACCUCCGAUUUCUAUCAUAGACAGGUUUCUUGUCAAUGCUUGAAGCCUUUGGAUCACUUGAUUUUUCUUGUAUCUAUGAUCUUGGAGAUAUUAUUAAUAUGUAAAGAGCCAGAUAAUUUAUGCAUCUAAUCUUGGAAUUUAAUUUAUUUAUUUAUUGCAGCUUGUGGUGUGUAGCUUGUACGCAAUAUCUCUUCCUAAUUUAAGGUGGGGUACAAUAUCUUUGACCACACAGCCAAACACUGAUAGUAUACACAAUAUGGUUAAGAUGGAUAUAAACCUUGCGCUAAAAUCAACCGGAACAGGACACCAGCCCAUAACUCGAAUAUCUUUGGGAAGUACUUUGUUCAACAUGUGGACAUAAUUUAGUUCUCCUUCUGAAACGAAGAAACAAUAUAUAGAGAAAAUCAAAUAAGAAACAGAAUAUAAUCAGUUCACAUACCUUCAAUAAAAUCCAAUGUGAAAUUAUAUUAUAUAAACAUAACCAUAAGGAUGCUACAUAUUUUUUUUUUAAGUUGGAAAGACUCCUCUAAAAUAAACAUUUAAAUGAUUAGAUCAAUAUUCACAUUGAUUCUCAAAACAUGAAUUCAGGCAUGAGCAAACCACAUAGGUCUUCCGUGACAAACUGCUCAGUGCUUCCUCCUUUCACCUUGUAGCGUGAUCUUAAAUAUAAAGCCACCACCUGUACCAGUAACAAGGAAAUCGAAACAUAUUGUAUCAUGUGACAUAAUCAAGUCUUGAACUUGAAGGAUUACUAAAUCUAGCAUAAUAUAUAAGCCAGGUCUCUAAAAAUCGACUGUAAGGUCCUGUAAACUGUUUAAUACAUAACCAUACACUUAAUUUUGAUGAAAACUUAACACACCUCUCACACCUAACCAAAUGUAACUAUUAUUUUUUUUUAUCAUAGAGACUCCAACCUAUUAUUUGACUUUGGUAUGGUAAUCAUAAAUUUAAACCAUUUGUACUUUAAAAGAUAUACAUCCACUUAAAUCACAUACUUUAUAUUUUUUUUCAACAAAAAAUUUUAACCUCAGCGAUUUAAUAACUAACUGAACCUGUAUCCAGAACUUGUAAUGAAGUAUUUACAAUUUAAAAGAUUUAAAAAUAAAUUUUAAAAAAGCACUGGGCUCUUCCUGUCAACUUACUUGUCCAAUUGAUGAAACCCCUUUGUCUGUUCUACCACAUCUCGAGUACUGCCAACUCUUCUUGUCACCAAAGACAAGCCUUGUUUCCAAAAGGGCUUUAAAUAAUUCAGACUGCACAAAAAGAAGAACAAUGAAACUACUAAGUGAACUCUCUAAUUCAUUCUCAAAACAAUAAAUUUAAGUUCGAUGGAACAAGUGAUGUUAAUUCAAAUAUAGAUUUUAGAUCUCAAUUUCUUUCAUUUGUUUUGCUUAAAGGUGUAUGUGACGAAUAAUACAUUUUAUGAAAAAAAACGAAUGUGGCAGAUAUGGAUAUGGUGUCCACUACUCCACUCUCCCCAUAUUAUAUUACAUACUUACAUAUCUAUACCAUAUUAUUAAACCCACACAUGCAAAAGUUUGGUCAUUGGUUUUGUAGUCCGGUUGAGUACAUUAUAACCGUUGGAUCACUGAAAUUAAAUUAAUGAGCACCGUUAGAUAUAAUCUUCUAUAGUUCACCGUGUAAGAUGCUGCUAAAGUUCAAUGGUUCGAAUCCCGUCAACAAACAUAUUAAAAUAUUUAUUAUAUCAUAAUAUCCACCUAAAAUACUAAUGAAUAAGGUUCGAAUUGUGUAAAUAACAUAUUAAAAUUAUAUAGAGAGAUAUAAUUAUAAUUAUUAGUUUUAAAAGUAGAAACAAGAUAUAUUAUUAUAUUUUAUUUUAGUUUAAUUAAAAAUUAUAAUUUAUUAUUAUUAUUAAAUAUUAAAAUUAUUAUAUAUAUAUAUAUCAAAAAAAUGCUACUAGAACUCUAAGGUUUAAAUACCGCCAAUAACAUACUAAGAUAAAUUAUUAAUUUAAACACGUAUAAAAAGUUAUUAACUAUUUAAACACACUCGUGCAUCGCACGGGUUAUGGGCUAGUAUAGCCACACACACACACACACACACAUACUUACUAAUUCACUUAUUAAAUUGGAAUCAAUAAUAUUUAACAAGUAAAAUCAAUUUAACACAAUAUAAUUUAUAACACUAGCUCCUACCCUCGUCCAAACCAUGUGGAUGCUUAUACACUAUACCAAAACCCUCGGGUAUAAUGGAAGCAGCAGAAAUUCUUUUCAAAACAAUGUGGAUGGUAGAUACAACAACACUUGCCCAGCAAUGAGUUAGAGACUUAGAGUAAAGUCAACGAACAAUAUGGGAUUGUAAAUUAAGAUUUGACAUUCCAGCUACAAGGAAAUGAAUCACGCAACACUUUUUUACAUGUUCUCAAGUAUAAUAUUUGUUUUUGAAAGUAGUAUAAAAAUCUUCUUGUGGCAAAACCAUGGAUAUACUUUAUUGUAUAAGGAUUUUCAGUUUUAACCAGCCGAUAGUAAUAUCACUGUCCUAUUGCAGAUUCCCACUGAUCAGAAGCGAUUAAGGAAAAACUAAUGAAGCAAACAAUAUCAGGUUGACAAAAUAGACAAGACUCUGAAGGAAACCUCCACAGUUGGGUCCAUCUGAGCCUCCGAUCCAAAACCAUAGAACCUGUACAUUGGUCAAGAUCACAGAACAGAUUUAACAUAACUUAGAGUACAAGUAACGUAAACGUAUACACAUACUUAAACCAGAAUAACCAGUGGCGGAUCCAGAAACAUAUUAAUCCGGGGGCAUAAUAUAACAUAGCAAUAUUAUCAAAAUACGGGUUUAAAAUAAAUGUACGCGGAGACUAAAAAUUAAUCAAAUUUAAGGUCAAAAAAUAAAAAUAUCACCAAUUUUGAAUCAUAAUUUUUUUUAACCGCUUAAGAAACUAAAAUUUAAUGUAUUAUAUGAUAUUUGAAUGAAAGUUAGGAAUUUUUUAUUCUAGUUCUUGAGAGUUAUGUAAUUAUUUAAAGGAUACUAAGUAAAAUAAACACAAACUUGACAUAUAAAUUUAAAAAUUAUACUAGUUAUUUUUUUUUAUUAUGGGGGCAUGGGACCCCUGGGGUUCCAAGGUGAAUCCGCCUCUGAGAAUAACAAUGGUGUGUGCCCGAGCAAAGGCGCAACAUGACAUGUCAAAUUUGUCUCACUAGUAAUCCAACACUGUUGUGUUUGCAAAAUUGUACAGUUGUACUCCUCCUUCCUAUCCAUUUUUUUACACUUUCCUUUUUUGGGAUGUCCCUCUCAAUUCUUUGUGUUUUAAAACUUUCUAAAAAUAGUAGAAUUUUAUACUCCCUCCGUCCCUUUUUAGUUGUCAUAUUUCUAUUUUUGUUGGUCAAAUUGACUAAUCUUUCACCAGAGAUUAUAAAUCAUUCUUUCAUUAUUUUAAAAAACUGAAAAUCACAUCUUAAAGUAGAUUAAAAGUUAUUUCCGGUGACAUAUUUUUUUUUAUUUUUUCAACUGAUAAAAUAUUAAUAAAUCUCAGUCAAACUUUGGUCAAUUUGACUGGCACAAAACCAAAGGUGACAACUAAAAAGGGACAGAGGGAGUAAUAUAUAAACUAAUCCCAUCCACUACUUUCAUUCACCUUUCUCAAUCUAUCAAUCAUAUACUAAUGGUCCCCACCACUUUUCCUACUUUGCAUACUUUUCUUACUCUUUCACACUACUUUAUAAAUUUUUCUCAAUCUUUGUGCCCAACCCCAAAGUAAGAACUGGGUGGGACGGAGGGAGUAUUUAAGAGGGGAAGGGUAUGAGUGAAGUGAAGUUUUUUAUUAUUAUUAUUAUUAUUAUUAUUAUUAUUAUUAUUAUUAUUAUUAUUAUUAUUGUUAUUAUUAUUAUUAUUAUUAUUAUUAUUAUUAUUGAUUAUUGAUGUUGUUGUUAUGCUCGAAGAACAUAUGAAUAUUAUAAAGAUUUAAAAAAAAUUGAAACAAUUGAUAAAGCGUUCGCCACAAUAGUUCUUAAAUAUACUUUAACCAGAAACCAAAUAAUUCAUUGUCCAUACUCAAACCCUUUUUGCAAGGAGAUGGAAAGGACCAAUAUAUUUAAACAUGAAGACAGGUUAUCUUCACAUCAGAUUGACUGAUCAUAUAUAAGUAGGAAAAUAUUUUGAUGGCAUACAUGCAAACUCACAGAUCUUGAGGUCAAGCCUAAUGAUCUAAAUUCUUGCUGUGUAUUUUUCUAAAUUCGAAGAAGUGCACCUGGGGAAAAAAAAAAUAGGCCGGCCUACCAGGAAAGACAUACUACUCGUCAAGGGAGACGAACAUUUGUGUUUAUAAUCACUGCACAGGGCCUAUACACGCUAGCCAGCAAGGGGCUAAUUGCACAGAGCAUAUAAGUUUUAGGCACACUGGGUAGAACUAAGAAUUUUUCCUGCAUUCUAAAAAUUAGGUUUGUUUUCCCCGAUCUAUAAGUUGUGAAUAACAAAUAAGUUAUUUCAAUGCCAGUGAGCUACUACAGAUAUGCAAUGUGUUGUAAACUAUAGUUACAUAUAUGUGCUCUCGGCUAUGGAAUAUAUAAUGUUGCAACUUACAAAUCAACUUUAGCGAGUAAUGUGCACUAAAUCAAAUUUAAUCCUAAGAAUAUCAUCUGAAAUAAAUAAACAGAUGAAGCAUAAACUAUUACCUCUGACCAAAAUACAUUACUUUUAGAGCAAUGUAUCUUCUGGAAAACUGAAAUACAGCUUGUGUACAAGAACCUGCAUCAUGGUGUAUAUUAUUCAGCAAAUAACCCCAUUUUAUUUUGCACGUCCAGGUACACCCUGGAUCACUAGAUGGAAAUCAAAAAAUACAUAGAGAAGCAAAGAGUAUCGCAACUGUGCAGACAAAAAUUAUGAGGUAAUCAGUAAGUAUAGGAACCUCCAUCGCCGUGCUUUGAAUUCUUCUUUUUUAUCUUGACACCGCUUCCUAAUGAUACUCUUUUCGUUUCAUUAACUAGGUCAAUCCUCUCCUGACCAUUGGAAUCAGCAUUUUGCUCCAGCUGCACAACAACCAUUUCAGUAACUUUUCCACAUUUUAAGUUUACAUCUUGACUCAAACAAAAGUACCUUCUCUGAAGGCUUGGGAAAUCAACACCAGCUAACAUUAGCUAUCAUACACAUUUCAUGCACCUCAACUAAGUAUAACAGUGUAUGAACUAUCAAUGUAAUUAAAAACGAACAUAAGUUACUACUGAACUUACUUUCCUAGGAUCUCAAAAUCUUAUGUUCUAUGUAUGUGUCUGCAUACACUCAAAUUACAAAUUGCGCACACAUUUAAUUAAAUUGCUCGUGUCACUUCAGAACUUAGAUGUGAAUACCCCCAUCCACAAACACAGAGGGAGAGGGGGGAGAGAGAUUGAUUUUCAGAACUUAGAUGAGAAUACCCCAUCCACAAACACAAAGGGAGGGAGGGAGAGAGGGGGGAGGAAGGGAGAGAGGGAGAGAGAGAGAGACCACCCCCCACACAGACAGCUUGCUCAUUCUCUGACCUCAUUCAUGUGUUUCUGCAUUACAUCAUGAAACAAGGGUGGCUAUCAGAGAGAGAGAGAGAGAGAGAGAGAGAGAGAGAGAGAGAGAGAGACCUUAUGACAGGGGCAGUUUGAAAGCAGGGAUGAUAACUUGGCAUUCUCAGUCUCUAGUUCCUGUAAUCGAACAGACAAGUAUUAAUUUGUAUAGUAAUAAACUGGAAUUUAAAAAUUGGGAUGAAGAUAAUGAAGUUGCAAAAGUACCUUGAGUUUAGUUUGAAGAAAUUGAAGCUGGGACAGAAGGUCCUGGUGUUCCUCCUGCUCUGCCAUUAGCGCCUGACUCUCUCAGAUUAAACCGCACGACACGAGGAGUCAGUAAUUUCAUAAACCCCUGCCCUGCACCACCCUCUCCGUUAAUUAGGGUUAAUGUGCAUCUACUAUCUGCUGCUGUCGUAGAUUUUUAUUUAUUGGAAAAGAGUCAAAACAGAGGAAAGAGGAUCGUGAAAAAUCCUUAUUAGAAGAACGUUGACAUGUUUCCAAAAAAAGAAAUCAAGAAGAAGAAGAACGUUGAGAAAUUUUAUUUUGCAAUGGGAAAAUAAAUUGAUACGUCCCUAAACUAUUCCACUUUUAUUCGAUAGGUCCCUGAACAAAAGAUUCCCUAAACCGGGUCCUUUAACUUUUCAAAUGUUUGUAUCAGGUCCUUCCGUUAAGUAGAUUCUAACAGAAGUUAGAAUCUUGCUGAAGUGGCGACGCAUCUUGCUGACAUUGGCGACACAUCACCAGCUGAUUGUACAUACAUUAAAAAAAAAAAAGAAAUUAAACUGAAAUUAAAAUCAAAAAACAAAUCAGAUGCCCUGCACGUGAGUUUCUAAGCGUGUUUAUAUCCAGAACACCAGCAACCAAUGCCCUAUGCCGGAACACCAGCAACCUCUCUUUCCCGCCCCCCCCCGCUCCUUUCUCCACCGGAACUGCCGCUGUCGCGGUCGCCGUCAUCGCCGUCGCACGCGGCCGCCGCCCUGCACCACUCGCUAGCCCCUGCUUUUGAACCACAGAUCCUUCUCCUUCCAUCUCUUCUGAUCCUUUCCUCCGUGUGAUCUAUACACCCCAGUCCCUGCACAAACUCUCCCACGUGAUGAAUGUACAGGGUGAUUUCAGCCUCCAUAUCUUGAUCUGAAUAGAUAGUGGGAAUGUUUGUGAUGAUAGUAGUAUAUGAUAGUAUGUAGUGUAAUGUGUUAGCAAUAUGUAAUAGAAUCUGCCCAAACUAAUUUCCUAAUCAAGAACCCUAAUUCCCUUUUAUGGAAUCCUAAAUUCUGUUUGUGAAUGGAAAGAAAUGAGUGAAUCGGGUGCAUCUAGAGAUAUAAACAUUUGUUUUUUUAAUUUUAAUUCUAGUUUAAUUUUAUUUUUCUUUUAAUAUAUGUACAAUCAGCUGAUGAUGUGUCGCCACGUCAGCAAGAUCGUCGCCAUGUCAGCAAGAUUCUAACGUCCGUUAGAAUCUACUUAACGGAAGGACCUGAUAUAAACAAUUGAAAUAGUUAAAGGACCCGGUUUGGGGAAUCUUUUGUUCAGGGACCUAUCGAAUAAAAGUGGAAUAGUUCAGGGACGUAUCAAUUUAUUUCCCCUUUUGCAAUCGAGUAAUACUGGAGUAAUAAUGAUAAUAAUAAUAAAAAUAAUUGAAAUAAUUUGAUUUGGUUAGUUAAAUAAAAAUCAUUGGAUUUUCUUUAUGAUUUAGUUUUCUGUUUUUUCAGAUUUUUUAUUAAAUUUACAGAAAAAUAAGAAAUGAUCAAGAUAUAAAAUGAAACAAAAAAAUGCAUAUCAUAUUUUCACAUUGAAUGUCACAUCAUUCAUUAUAUUCAAAUAUAUCAAAUUAGUUAUUUAUAACAAAACUUUAAGGUUUUUAGUGUUUUUUGACCGCUGUACGGGAAAAAACCCGUCCAGCAACUAAAAAACGUUAGACAAGUUCCCGGUUAAUGGCUAAAAAGCGAUAAACAUGUUAGUAAAAAUGUAAUAAACACGGGUACUCUGGUAUUAAUCUAACAAUCUAAUUUCGUCAAUAUUUUAUAAUGUUUCGUGUACAAGCGUUUAUAACAUCCGACUCAAACAUAAAAAAAAAUACACAUAAUAAUACAUUAAAAUCACAAUAGGAUAGAUCAAAAGUCAGAAAUUUACAAGUUCGUGGAACAAAGAUCGAAUCCUUUAUAUUUAAAAAUGGAUCGGUUAGUUGAUAGUUGUAAAAUGGGUUUGUCUUGUGUGUGCUCCAUGGGCACAUGCUAAGCACUAAACUUUAUAUAAUUGGAGGGUUUUGAUUGGUGUGGUUGUUGUAAAUGCAGAGAGCUCACCAUUAUUAAAGAAGGUUAAGCCAAUAGAAACCAUCCAAAUUCAUCAAUCUUUGUGCUUAGUGUGUGCCCAUGGACACACCAUGGAAAAAUCGUUGUAAAAUUUCACGAGUAUUCGAGUUUCAAUUAUUCAUUAACGUGACACACAACGUAUAUAUAAACAAGCCAUUCAUUUAAUUAUAGAUAAUUAUCAUUAUUUAAUUAUGAUAUUUUUUAUUCAGAAUUACUUAACUAAACAUGGAGGGAAAUUCCUCCCAAAUGAGGGUGGUUAAAAAUAAAAUAAUAAAAUUAUAUUAUAUUGUAUUAUUUUUUAUUGGGAAAAGGCAUAUAUAAACCCACAACAACUCAAACAAGCAAAGAUUUCAUAUAUUGAAAAAGUAAUUUUGGUAAUAUUAGCCUAAAUCUCGAAAAUAGUAACAACUUAAUUUUGUACAUAAAUAUCUUAUAAAUAAAAUCUCACCUAUGUAAAAAAAUAAAUUAAAAAUGUAUCUCAGAUUUUAACUCAACAAACCCAUGAAUAUAAUUUAGAGUUUUGUUCCCAGACAAUCAAUUGUCAAGGAACAGUUACAAUCACUUCCUUGAUUGUUGGAUCGUCGAUACCUUACGUGUCCGCGUAAAAAAUGCGGAAAAACAUUGUAUCUACGAUUAUUUUACGCGAAUACUUUAAAAUCCGAUUUUUUGUCCCAACCGUUGGAUUGUCGAUCCAACGACUGAGGAAGUGGUUGUUAAAUAACUGUUCCCUGACAAUCAAUUGUCAGGGAACAGACCCUAUAAUUUGUAAGACAUGAUAAUAGAGGACAACUACUUACAACUUCGGUAUUUAAUAUCAAUUAAAACAUAAAAUGUAUGUUUGAAGAUAAAACAAAAUGUAAUUACCAAAAAGAGUAUCAUAUUCAAAAAAUCAUUCUCCAAACAAAUAUGAAAUAUCCGAGGAAAAUACCGAGUCCAAAUGCAGAGAAAAGAAGAUAAAUUUGUACCCGAAAAUCCAGGAUGCAGAUAUAUCGAUAGUGUGAAAGAGAGAAAAAUAAAAGAAAAAAACGUGUUGGCCCCACCACUAGUCAAUGGAUUAAAAAUGUGAGGUAAAAACGAGUCAGCCUCGACAACUAAUCAUCAUCAUCAUCAACCUUUUUACUUACGUAUACACACACAACACAAGCUGUAAGUUUUUACAGCUCGCGAAGAAGAUACGAUGACAAAACCCAACAAAGAUUUAUUUGACUUGUCAAAUUAUAGUUACUGCUGCCUUCUAAUAAUAACCAAUAAUAUCUCCUUAACCCAAUCAAUCAAAUGACUCGUUUCUUACAUCAUCGUAUACUUUCAUGAUACAUACAUUAUACUCUGUGUAUAUAUAUCACGAGAUCUCCGUUCUCAUCCUCUUUCUUUGCUCCUUCAUCUCUUACAUCUGCUCUACUUUAUAUACACACACAGAGACACAUUACUUACACAAAGGUUGUUUGUUUUGUUUUGUUUUGUUUUUGUUUUUUAUUUGUAAUGAUGCCACAUUCUGGGAAGUCAUUAGAUGAAAUGGAGACACAAGACAAGCCUGAUUUUAAGAAACUUGAUCUCAAUUCGGACACGAACAUAAAGAAGGGGGUGAGUGUUUGUCCGAAGAUUCCGGUUGUGAAUGUGGCGAACAGGAAUCAUUCCGGGGAGCUGGGGAAGACCCGAUCCGGGGUGAUGGGUCAUCGGAGAUCCAGUUCGACCGGGGCGCCGCUAAUUUAUUCGGGUCGGACUCCGAGUUCGAGUAAUACGAGUACGAGUAGUAGUAGCAUGAGUACUAAUGGGAGUGGGAGUGGAGGGGGGAAUGGAGGGGGGAAUUUGAUGAGUAGUGUGAGUUCGGGGGCUUCGGGGAAUGGGAAUUUGUAUCCGAGUGGGAAUAUUUGUCCGUCCGGGAAGAUAUUGAAGUCGAAUAUGAUUAAUCGGGGGAGUAAUCGGAGUGAGAAGUUGGGGUCGGGGAGUGUGAAUUAUGGUCAUGGGAAUAUAAUCAAGGGAGGGGGGAAUGCGCGGUGUGGAGAGGAUAAUGUGGGGAAGAGGGGUGUGGUUGGGUUUGAUGCGGAGGAGGUGAAGAAUCAGGGGAAUGAGUUGUAUAAGAAAGGGAAGUUUGGGGAGGCGUUGGUGUUGUAUGAUAAGGCGAUUGGGAUGGCUCCGGAGAAUGCUGCUUAUAGGAGUAAUAAGGCGGCUGCAUUGACUAUGUUGGGGAGGUUGGGGGAGGCUGUGGUGGAGUGUGAGGAGGCUGUGAGGUUAGAUUCGGGGUAUGGGAGGGCGCAUCAGCGCUUGGCCUCUCUUUUCCUCAGGUAUACUUAUGUGCACAAUUCUUAGUUUUGCAGUAUUGGAGAUCAUUAUGAUUUUGCCUUAUCGGGUUGUCAAAGGUGUAGUUUGUAUUAAUUCAAGUUGCAAUUGGAUGUUUUUCUUUUUAAAGGAUUGCCAACCAUUUCUUGAUUUACCUUAAUCGGAUUGUGAAUUGCUCAAGGCUUCCUUGGGUUAAAUGGUUUGGAGUUUUGGUCGUAUCAUACCGUUCUUAAGUUAAACGAAUUAAUUAUCUUGCUGAUUUUAUGAACUUCUGAACGUUGAAUCUAUGUGAGACUAGUGAUUCUAAUAGAGACUCUAAUUGUUAACUUCUGCUGUUUGAGUGGUAUGAUGUAUGAGCUUGCUGUAGUUUUUGGCUUGUAGCUGUCUGUAAAGAACAUUCCAAGUUAUUGGGUGAUUGGUUUUGUCAUCAGUAUUGAGAGUUGAGGCUGGACUCAUCACCUACCAGUGCUGAUGAUGACGCCACACUUUGAUCACACCUAAAAUCCUGAUAUAUGACCCUAACUUUCGAUGUUUGGUUCAUUUCAUUUAUAAUAUCUGAUCCAACUUUAAGAUUAAAAAAAUAAUAAUUAUAUGUAUACUGGAUUUCUCUGGGUGGAAACAAGUUCCUUUUUUAGCUAAAUGUGAUAAUAAGUUUCAGACACUUUUGAUCUUUAUAUGGCUUUUGGGGAUUCUAUAGGAAAUCACUUUUGUAGCUGUAGAAUCUACUACAAAUAGAGUGCAGGUCGUUUUGAAAAUCAUUUACAUUAUUUCUACGAAUGUGCCAGGUAACAGGUUACAUGCUUCAGAAUCAUGGGUUUUGUUUUAUUCGUUUUUAUGAGAUUAAGUGAGUAUGUGCACCGGGCAGUGCCACAAAUGAUUGAUAUUCCUUCGCAUUCUGUCGUUUACAGGUUAGGACAAGUUGAAAAUGCUAAGGAUCACCUUUGUUUGCAAGGGCAGCCUCCUGAUACAACUGAAUUGCAGAAGUUGCAGUUGUUGGAAAAGCAUAUCAGUCGAUGCGUAGAUGCUCGAAAGGUAGGUGACUGGAAGGGAGUACUGCAGGAAUGUGAUGCAAUAAUGGUAGCUGGAGCUGUGUCUUCACCCCAGGUAAGAUCAGCACAAAGCCUACUAUUUCUACUUCUUUUUUUAUUAGAAAGAUUAGAUCGCUGAACAGUUAAUUUUAUAGAUAAUUGCUUGUAAAGCGGAGGCAUUCUUGAAGCUUCACCAAUAUGAAGAUGCCGACUCUAGCUUAUCCAACCUUUCAAAGCUAGAACCCUACCCUACUUCAUGUUCCCAAAAUAGAUUUUUUGGGAUUCUUUUAGAAGCUUAUGUUUUGUUUGUCCGAGCGAAGGUGGAUAUCGCAUUUGGAAGGUUAGUCAUUAUAAUCGCUGUAUAUUGUUUAGAACUUUAGAUUGGUGACCCUGAUGUGACCGAAAAUAUUAAUUUCAUUGCAGGUUUGAAAAUGCAGCUGCUGCAGCAGAGAAGGCCGUUAAAAUUGAUUUCAAUAACAUGGAAGUUGCAAUGUUGCUGAACAGCGUGAAGCUGGUAACUAGGGCUCGUUCCCAGGGUAGAGAUCUUUUCGGUGCUGGAAAAUUCACAGAAGCAUGUGCAGCAUACGGGGAAGGCCUGAAAUAUAAUCUCUGCAAUUCCAUACUCUACUGCAACAGGGCUGUUUGCUGGUCUAAACUUGGUCUGUGGCAGGAAUCUGUGGAGGACUGCAAUCAAGCCCUCAAGAUCCAACCAAAUUACACAAAAGCUCUUCUUAGGAGGGCUGUAUCAAAUGCGAAGGUAAUAAUGCUUGUAUAUAUUGUUUAUCUUAUAUAGGCAGGUUGUUUCUAUAGUUAACUUUUUUGUUUCUUUAAAACUAUGGAAUAAUCUUUUUUGCUCAUAUGGACAUCUAUCGUUUGGCAACUUUUUUUCUGGUUGUCACAGCUCGAAGAAUGGGCAGCAGCUGUCAGAGACUAUGAGAUCUUAAGGAGAGAGCUCCCGGGUGACAGCGAAGUUGCUGAGUCUCUAUCUCGGGCACAGGAUGCUCUUAUGAAAUUACGGCGGGGUGAUGCUUAUGUCAAACCAGGUGACUCCAGUGAAUUUUCUGGUUCUGACCACUUCAAGGGUGUGAUGCAUUCACCUGGUAAAAUUUUCAUCCUUGUACCAAAGUUAACUCAUCCGUUCAUUUUUCAUGCUGUUAUUUAUCCGAGCCCAGAGCAUUGAUCCUAUAGCAGCUUUACAGAGUCAUUAAUGAAUAAUUCUACUGUCUUGCUGGAAUUUCUUACUCAUUAUUUAUGACUGUUCUAUAAUCUUUUUGCCACUUGCUUGAUUUGAAAUGCAAUCCAUUCCACUGUAGCAACAUAGAAGUUCUUGCAAUUUAUCUAAAUCUUCCGACUUUCAUCUUGAUCGUUGUAAAGACUGAAUGAUUGAUACCUAAUAUGUCUCUCUUCUUCUUCCGUGAAGGUGGAUCCAGUUCAGACGCCAGCAGAAGCCACAAGAAAUAUCCGGAGCUGUAACAUAUACUAGUCGGUGACAGACUGAAGAAGAUGAUCUGCCCUAGCCGCCAAAUUACUAUUAUUAGGCUCAAUGGUGCUUCAAAGCAUCCAUGCUAUAUAUUCUUACCUCAAUUUUGGAAGGAGAUAGCAGAUUGAGUAGCUACAUAUCACAUUAUAGUAAUUUCAUUCUUUAAUAGGAAAACCUCAUAUAAAUAAAUUCAUCAGUUAACAUAUUUUAAAUUGUAUUACAUAAAUUUUCUUCGCUUAUAUCACAAUAUAUUGUUUAUUUCAUCCCCUUUAUUCAAAUCCAUUUUCACCUUCAGUCAUGCAAAUCUGAAAUGCAAAAGUGCACUUCGUAUGUAGGCCUGUUUCUACUUUAAUUCUGUUAUCUUGGUGGGAAACAAAAUGUUUCCGAUCUACUAGUAAAUUAUUUAUUGAGGUAAAAGUAUUGUUCGUACUGACAUGCUUUUUUCUUGCCUGACCGUGAUAAAUAUUCUAAAUAUUCCCGAUUUAUUAAAAAAUUAUCGAUUAAUUUUUAAAAAAUAUUUUAAUGAUUUAUUAAUUACAUCUAAUUUGACUGAAAAUUCUCGAUUUAUCAAAAAAUUCAAAUUUUGAAUUUAUAAAUUAACCGAUUAGUACCGAUUUCCGCGAUAACCGUUAUAUCUAACAUACAAUUCUAAUUCUAGUGAACAAAACAUCUAAAUUCUAGUGAACAAAACAUCAAAUUGUGACGGUAUAUAUAAGGGGAAACAGAAGGAAUAAUAUUAGGCAGUAUAGCAAGUGAGGUGGGUACAUAACUAAUGAAUGCAUGUCUGUGCCAGUACUAGAAUUGACUUAACAUGUGUAAAGUUCCAUUAUACGGUAGUAGUAUUAAAAAACAACACAAACUUUUUUCAAAUCAUAAUAAUUAUUAUUGUACAAAAUUCCGUUCCAUCAGUUAUCUGAUAAAAUAAUAUGAGUAAGGGCUCAUUUGUUUAUAGGUGGAUGAGACCGUACGAACUGAACGAACCCCAUAUUUGCUAUUCAGAUCGUUUGGUUUAUAUUUUUAAAUUUUUAAAAUCUGGACGACACCAUAAAAACAUCUGGACGACGCACCCUCAAACUCUGCGCUGAAUGGUUGAGCUUGUUACUGUCUUGUGUCUUGGCUAGAGGUUAUUUUUCUUCUCCCUUAAAUCAUUUGACUCAUUUUAAACCUUGCAUCUUUUUAAUAGAAUCGAGAAAAUCAAGUCUAUACAUAUUCCUACUUUUUCUUGUGUGUAUUUUAUACAUAGUAUUUAAAUUCUCUUUACAAGAUUACUUUUCUAAUGAUGUAAUUAUGUUAGGAAAUUAGAUAAUCCGAUUUAAUUUUUUCUUUUAUUUUUGAUUUAAUUGAAUAUGUUUAUCAAGUUAUUACUUAAAAAGAUAGUAUUUUUAGUUAAUAUAACUUUUGUGUUGAAUUUUAAUAAUUAAUAUUUUAUUGUGGUCAAAAACAUAAAACCAUCAUUCAUAAUUUUUAUCAAAAGUAAAUUUGAACUAUAAAUUAUAUAUAAAAAUUUAUAGUCUUUUCUGUUACAAAAGUAAAUUUUUUAUCUUAAUAUAUUAAAUCUAUCUGAUAAAAAAAUAUCAGAUUUGUGAAUUUUGUCAUUCAGAUAAAAUAGAUUAACAAACAACAGUUUUUAUCUGCCAUCCAAAUUUUCCGUUCAUUCAGAUUUCACUCGUUCAGAAAAAAUGAUCCAGAUUUAACAAAUGACCCCUAAUUCAUAGACCAAGCUGAAAGAUUCUCUAUCUUAAUAAUAGAGUACAUAAAAUAUUAUUCAGACACGUUGAUUUAUCUUACUUGUUUUGGUUCGGCUAAAAUCAGAUACUUUGGGUAAGAGAAUAAUGGGCCUUGCGUAAGCCCAAGUUGAGCGAGCGUGUCUGGACAUUGAAGUAAUGAAAGAGAAUUACUACUUUUGGAAUGUUCAUUUAUGUACGUAAAAUAAAACAAGUGGCGCCAAACAGGAAUCAAACUUUUCACAAUUCAAAAGUUCAAACAAUCAGGAGAGAGAGGGAGAGAGAGAGCGAGAGAGAUGGAGUUGCAGUGCUGCGGAGAGUUCGAAGCAGGCAGAGAGUGUCGGAUUAAGAAUCUGACUGUACAAAAGUACCUCGAGUUCUGUGAGCUGCACAAGCAUUCCGAUCUUACCGUUAAUCAACUCCAAAAGGCAUCUCUCUCUCUCUCUCUCUCUCUCCCCCUCUCUCCCUCCCUCCCUCCCUCCCUCUCUCUCCCUCCGUCUCUCUCUCUCUCUCUCUCUCUGUAUAUAUACAUGUGCCUAUAGCGACAUAGCGUGUUGUGUACAGAGGAGCUUGAUGAAAUGGUUUUCUAUUUGUUUGAUUCUGAUUUAGUUACUCUACUCAGAAUCAUUUAUAUGAGUGAUUGUGUGUAUAAAGGAGCUUAAUGUUUGUUUUGCUAUUUGUUUGAUUCUGGAUUUUAACGUUUUGAUGAUUUUGAUACUCAAAUAUUCGUCACUCGUAGAUUUGUAGCUAGUCAAAUUUAUGUGUGUAACUCUAGCGAUGCUACAUAAAAGUGCUCUGGUUAUAUUUAUUUGUUUGGCGAAUACAUUAGCACAAUGGUUGCAGUUCGGAUUUGUGAAUUGUUGUGCGUUUAUUUUGGUACUUUUGAUUUUUGACAGAUUAUAAGCAUUCAUGGAUUCAAACAGCUGAGGAACGUUCGAAAGGCGAGCAGUUUUUCGAUUAAACACAAAUUUAUCAGUUCCUUCUCUUUUUGUGUGUGUGUGUUUAUAGUUCAUGUACCAUUUUCUAUAGAUAAGUACCUGCGUCCGUGUAAUAUUAGUAAGUAGAAUCGCAAUUUUGAAUUGUUCACAGGAAGUCCUGGUUGACGCGGUAGACUCAAUUCAGCUGAUGGAGCUGACUCGAUCCACCAUCACUGAUGAUAACCUAUCUUCAAAUGCAUUUAUCACUUCUGAAGAGGCUAUUAAGGACCUAACAUGCCUUAACUGGAUUGAAUGUUCUGUGACUUCCUUUAAAACGUUCAAUUCUGUGAACGACAGCCUUAAAAAUGCUAAGGAUGUUGCUUUGAAAUCAAAGACAGAGAAAAAGAAGCCGCAAAAAAUGAGCAGAUUAAAGGAUGUAGCUGAACGGGCUUGCUCUUUGGCCUCUGGUGACCAAUUUUCUGCCAAGGGGGAUACCGGUGAUUGUGCAGCUGCUGAUCUCCUCAGUUUGUCUUCUUUGUUGGUAAUUACUUGCAUCUUGACCAAUUUUUUCAGACCAAUAUUUUGUUAGGAAGAAUCAGUUUCGAUUAGUAUCCUAUUUCUCCAUAGACUUGCUACAGUUUAGCAUGAUCUUUUUCCGCUUUUAGCCUUGUAGUUGGUGAAUAAUGGUGAUAGAUUUUCUUUUAAUAUCAAACGGAAGUAAGCAUAAAAUAAUAUGCAGAUUUGCUCCAUAGUAGAGAUUGAGUGGAUGUUCUAUAUUCCAUGAAACAAAUCCUCUACUAUUGUUUCCUUUCAUUGGCAUUUACUUGUUUUUCAAUAUUUGGCUAAUUUAUACUAUGAUGUCAUUUUUUUGAAAUCAAAGACAACGGAAACGGAGCUGCCAAAUAUGAGGAGAUCAGAGAAUAUAGUAAAUCCAGCGUGCUAUUUAGCCUCUGGUGACCAAUGUUAUGCUAAGGGGAAUACCAGCGAUUCUGAAGCUUCUGAUGAUCUCACUCUGUCUUCAUUUCUGGUAAUUACUUGCAUUCCAAUUAAUUCGGUAAAUUAUCAGCUUGUUUUGAAAUUUUUGUAUUUGAUGUUAAUCAUCUAUUGACAUUAUUUUGUAAGUAUUCUGUCCCCAAGAUUGCUAUAGUUUAGCAUGAAUCACUUUCGGCUUUUAGCCUUUAGUUGGUGGCUAACGUUAAUAGAACUUCUCCUUUAAUAUGUAAUAGCGGUAAGCAUACAAUACUGUUUCCUUUCACAUUCACUUGUUUUUCAUUUUUUUGCUAAUUUAUACUAUGAUGUUGCUUUGUAAUGGAAGACAACAAUAAAGAAGAGGCCAAAAAAGAGGAGAUUAGAGGAUACACUAAAGCCAGCUUGCUCUUUAGCCUCUGGUGACCAAAAUUCUGCUAAGAUGAAUAUCGGCAAGCCUGCAGCUUCUGAUCACCUCAGUUUGUCCUGGUUUUUGGUAAUUACUUGCAUCUUGACUGAUUCAGUAAAAUUUUAGUUUUUUAUUUGAAGAAUUUUUAUUCAAUAUUGACAAUUUAUGUGACUUGAUUCCGUAUUAUUGCGUUACUCCCUCAAUCAGCUAUCGUUUUAGAAUGAAUGAGAUUUCCUCCAUAGUAGAGAUUGGGUGGAUUAAUGUUUUAAAUUAUUAAAGAAAUCUUUUGCUACACUGUUUCUUUUCAUUAAUAUUCACUUGUUUUUCUCAUUUCAUUUGGCUACCCCCCUCCUUACCCAGUUAAAUGGUUUAUAAAUGUUUUAAAUUGUGAUAUGACAACAGCCAGAGGCAGGUGAACAAGUUCUUCAAGCACUCACUCAAACACGACCCAGUCCGAAAAGACACACCAGAAAAGAGUUUCAGAAGAAGAAGGAAAUGCAACAAUCAACCAAUUAGUAAGGAAAUUUCGCGCAUUAGGAAGCUUGGAAGGUUAUAUUAGGGGUUGAUCCUUCGUAUUUUGAAAGACAAAAGAAAAUCAACAUUCAGUGAAGUAGUAAGGAUAGUUGUGCUAUCUGUCUGCAAUUUUUUGCAGUAUUAUGUUUCUCAAUGUUGAGAACUUAUAAGUUGUUGAUAGAACUCCAGUCAACUUUAAAACCUAUGACGAAUGAAUUUACAAUCGUUUCCUCAUAUUCCACUUAAUUUUCAGGGAGAUUUGUCUUCUCAAGCAUAUCUUCUUAAUUCCCCCUGCACAUAUAUAUAUAUAUAUAUAUAUGGAGUUUGGUAACACUGUUUACAGCAGAGCAAUGGUCCUUCUGGACAAAAUAGUGCCUAUGCUUCUAAGUUGCAAUUUCUUUCUAUAAUAAAUCUUAAAUAACUGUAUGCGAAAAAUGGACAGCAAGAUAGCCAGAGUAAUAGCCAGGAAACCUGAGUUAUUAGUUCAUACCAGUGGAAUGGAAUAGGUCCAUAGUCUUACUAAAUUCGCAGUUGACAGUUGAUUACCCUUGGUAAUGGACAGGCUAGGCUGCCCAGAAAUCUAGAACAUCAACCCAAGGAAGAUUUUGUUACCCAAGUUGAAUGAAACCACCAAAUUGAGACCAGAAACAAAAACCUUUGGCCAGCUAAAUCGAGUCACAUAACACGAAGGUUUGGUAACACUGAAACUCCUGGAAGACAGUUCCAUAUAAUUAUACUUGCUAACAAUUCCAAACAAACUAAUCCACAACAACUCCCAGUAAUUUUAAACUCUCUACUGGGGUCUGAAACAGGGAUUCAGUCUGAGCAAAUUGUUCUGCAAAUGUCUCAUUAUUCCAACACAUUGUAAAUUUCUCAUCAUUCCCAUUCUCAUCAAGACACCGAAAAAGAAAAGAUUUGUUCUUCUGGCUAAAUUUGUAUAGUUAAAGUGUGUGGACCGUGUGGUGAUGAAAACAUAACAGAUUCUUUAAACAUAAAGAUAAUAAAUUCUUCAACACGACUAGAUUAAUAAUCAGCAAGUUCAAUAUUCUUCCUUCUCAAAAAUUAUCAAACAUGUUCAUAAAACUGCAGUUGCUUUGCAGAUGGGACAAUUAUUGAUCUGCCGCAACCAUUUCUUUAUACAUUGCACAUGAUACUCAUGUCCGCAACGAAGACCUCCCAUGAAUUCAUCAUCUUCAAACUCGCCCUGGCAUAUGACACAUAUAUCAGGUCCUUCAUUCAUACUCGUAGUUGUAGUCGUAUAACAUGUUAUUCGCAUAUGUUGCAUAAUUUUUUCCUCUGACAAUCUGCUACCAACUCGUCCCAUUCGUUCUUGAAGCUCAAGAUAGCCCUGCAUUACAAUAAUGUCAGCUAAUCACUUAAUAAAUAAAUGAAAUUGAAAUAAGCACUUAACCAAAAUAUAUCUACUACCUCAUAAGUAAGAUCAGAAUCUGAAGCCAAGUUAUUCAGCUCGGAAUCAAGUGUUUCCUCAUUCAAAGUCACUUCCGCCUGCAUAUAUAUUCACACAACGGUCGAUUCAUAUUAGAAACAAAUUCACGCCAUAUGGAUAUAUAGUCAGCAAGAGUGACGACCUUUGGCUUUGGCACACAUAAUAUAUCAGAGUUGCAUGGCAAUAUUGGCAAACGAAAUUUUAAUUGUUGCAGAUGUUUUCAGAUAAGUUAAGUUCUUGAGGUAUUAAAAAUAAAACUCGCGAAAAAUCAAAAGUGAUGCCCAAAAUACCAGAGUUGCAAGAAAAAAUCCAAAAUAUCACUUAUUAAUAUCGGAUAAUCCAGUGUUUUGAUUUUUGAAAAAAACGAUAUACCGUGUUGUUUAGGUCCGGAAAAGCCUACAAACCGUAACAUGUAAAACACUACGUGAAACAGCGAGAGUUAAGAAGUGAAAGAUGAAUGAACGCGUUUUCGAUUGUAAAAUGAUAUUUGGGACCAUAUACUCCCAUAGUGAUAUAUAUGGUCCCUUUACCCGAAAAAAGUGAUACAUUAGGGCAACACCCGAAAAAUAAUAACAAAGGGAAGAUGAGGAGGAUGAACUUACUGCAGGAACCAGGGGAGAAUGAUCAUUAUUUGACACAUGCCUUGUGAUAUGAUCCCUGGUCCGAAUAGGUGGCAAGUUGAGAUGAACAAGAGGCUCAUGACCCCCCUGAUGGUUAUCUAUUUCAUUAACAAACGAGAACAGGUCUGAAAAUCUUCCGGCCGGUUCUCCAGGUACAAGAUUCCUCAUCUGCAUUACAAUAAUACACCUUUUCAUAACUUAGAACAUACUCUAACUAGUUAGGCUUACGCAUGGUUAGCCCGACCUGCUGGAACGACAGAAGAUAAACUUUUAUCGCACCUGACUAUUAAAAAUAUAAAAAUAAUAAUAAAGAUGAAACAACUGUAAGGUGAGGUAGAUUGACUUACUAUACCAACAUGAUGAUAAAACCCGGACAUGCCAACGAUAGGUGUAUAAACGGGAUAAGAAAUAUUUGGACCAUGACAAAAUAAUGAAGUAAUGGGAGAUGGACGAUGGACGAACCAGAGUCUUUGUGGUGUGAGUUGCAUUACAAAACCGAAAGGAGGAGAAUCGAGAGAUAAUUGCACGUAAGUAUCGGUGAAUGUGGGCGGGUAAUUGCUAGAUUCGUUAAGUUGGUGCCCAUUGUUGGAAGUGGCCAUUGGAACAGAUUACAGAUUACAGAUUUAACAGGUUUCGUCAAUAUCAGCUCUAGCUCUUUCUUUAGCUUAUGUGCGCGGGGUUGUGAUUAUAUAAACGUAGGGGACUAGGGUUUUUCCAGUCUAAUAUUAUUCUUCCGGUAGGAGUAGGACUAAUGGACUAUACGGUAUGAAGCAAAAUUUACCUGGUCUCCGACAAGAGGGAUGCGGAGAAUGUUAUUACUCGUUUUGUUUUUUACACACACCAAAUGUUUUUAUCUUUUGAAAAUAUAAUUUUUAUUUUUUUGAAUAAAAAUAUAUAAUCAGAAUUCUAAUUCACAAAAAAAUCAAUCAGAAAUAAAAAAGUUACUACCCGAUCAAUCCAUACAAAGAUGUAUGUUAAAAUUCAAAAUGUCAAAUAAAAAACAGAGGAAAUUUUGCGGUGCCAAGCAUCAAUGGCCGAAGACGUAUUAAAUGGCAAUUAUUUUUGAGUUAGUGGAUCGUCGAGAUUAUGAUAUCAUUUUAAUACGUGUGUUCAGGUUUUUAAACCGUUAGACAAGACUUUUUUGUGAAUGGGUCCAUUUUCUCUACCAAAUGGUUAAAAAUUGACAUUAAAUAUAUUAAAAAUUAUAAUUUUGAUCGCCGAAUAUUCAUCCAAUCAUCUAACAAUUAUAUGUCACCUAACACAUAAUCAUGACCCUUGUUAUACCGGAUUAUAUGCGCGGGGUUGUGAUUAUAUAAAUGUAGGGGAUUAGGGUUUUUCCAGUCUAAUAUUAUUCUUCGGGUAGGAGUAGGACUAUACGGUUUAUGGUACGAAGCAAAAUUUACCUGGUCUCCGACAAGAGGGAUGCGGAGAAUGUUAUUACUCGUUUUGUUUUUUAGUGUUUUUAUCUUUUAAAAAUAUAAUUUUUAUUUUUUGAAUAUAUAAUUAGAAUUCUAAUUCACAAAAAAAUCAAUCAAAAAUAAAAAAUAUUACUACCCGAUCAAUCCACAGAAAGAUGUGUGUCAAAAUUCAAAACAUCAAAUAAAAAAACAUAGUAAAUUUCAAACAUACUAAUCCACAACAAAUCCACAACAACUCCCACUAAUUUUAAAACCUCUACCCGGGUCUGAAACAGGAAUCCAGUCUGAGCAAAUUGUUCUGCAAAUAUCUCGUUAUUGCAACACAUUGUAAAUUUCUCAUCAUUCCCAUUCUCGUCAGGACACUGGAAAAGAAAAAAUCUCUUCUUUUGGCUAAAUUCGUAUAGUUAAAGUGUGUAGACCGCGUGGUGAUGAAAUUAUGUUUAGGAUCAAAGCAUAUCAAGAAACAGAUAAUGAAUUCAUCAACACGACGCGACUAAUCUAAUUAUCAUUAUCAGCAAGUUCAGUAUUCUUCCUUCUCGAAAAUUAUCAAACGUGUUCAAGAAACUGCAGUUGCUUUGCAGAGAGGACAAUUAUUAAUCGAUCCGCCGCAACCAUUUCUUUAUGCAUUGCACAUGAUACUCAUGUCCACAACUAAGAACUCCCACGGAUUCAUCAUCUUCAAACUCAGCCUGGCAUAUGACACAUAUAUCAGGUCCUUCAUUCGUACUUGUGGUUGUCGUCGUAUGACUAGUUUUUCGUAUAUUUUGCAUAAUUUUUUCCUUUGACAAUCUGCUACCAACUCGUCCCAUCCGUUCUUGAAGCGCAAGAUAGUCCUGCAUUACAAUAAUGUUAGCUAAUCACUCAAUAAAUAAAUCAAAUUGAAAUAAGCACUUAUUAACCAAAUAUAUAAACUACCUCAUAAGUAAGAUCAGAGUCUGAAGCCAAGUUAUUCCGCUCGGAAUCAAGUGUUUCUCCAUUCCUAGUCACUUCCACCUACAAAUAUUCACACGACGGUCGAAUUAUAUUAAAAACAAAUUUACACUAUUUGAAUAGUCAAGAGUUACAAUCAGAGUUGCAUGGCAGAUUGGCAGUAUCAACAAAUAAUUUUUUUUAUGUUCAGAUGUUUUCAAAUAAAUUAAGUUUUCGAGGUAUCAACUAGAAAACGAAACCAACGAAAAAUAGAGAGAAGGCCCCAUGUAUCACAAAUUCCACAAGUAAUGUCCAAAAUAUCAGAGCUGAAAGAAAAAACCCGAAAUAUCACUUAUUAACGUCGAAUAAUUCCGCGUUUUGAUUUUUGGAAGAAAGCCCUACAUUGUAUUAUUUUUAAGCCUAAAAAACCCUACAAAAAGUAAUACGAACUCACGUUUUAAUUGAAAUGCCGCAUAAAAUAGCGUCUAGGGUUUCAAAACGUUAGAAAAUAAUAACAAAGGGAAGAGGAUGAUGAUGCACUUACCGCAGGAACCAGAUCCCUGGCUCGAGUAGGUGGCAAGUUGAAAUUAACAACGGGAUGUACCCAUGCAGAGAUACCGAGGGAUUCAUGACUAUGGUUAUGUAUUCCAUCAAAAAACGUCGACAGGUCUAAAAUUCUUCCGGCCGAUUCUCCAGGUACAAGAUUCGUUAUCUGCAUUACAAAUACCCCUUUUCAUAACUUGAACAUAACUUGUUAGUCUUACGCAUGGUCAGCACGACCUGCUGGUACAACAGAAGAUAAACUCGUGUACCGUACCAAGUACUGACGAUUAAAAAAACAAAAAUAAUAAUAAAGCUGAAACAAUUGUAAGGUGAGGUAGAUUGACUUACCAAAGCAUGAUGAACAAAUUGAUAAUAGCCCGACCUCCCAGCAAGCGGUGUAAAAACGGGAUAAGGAGUAUUCGGACCAUGACAAAAGAAUGCAUUAAUGGGAGAUGGAACACAUACGAACCAGGCUCUUAGUGGUGCAAGUCGAAUUAUAAAACCGUGAGGAGAAUAUUCGAGAGAUGCUUGCAGAUCAAUAUCAUCGCAGACUGUGGGCGGGACGAUUAAAGUGGCCAUUGCUAGUAUUUUCUUGAAACAGAUUUAACUGGUUUCGUCGAGCGAGAAUUUAUAAACACAGGGAAUUAAUAGGGCUUUUUCAUUCUGUUUUUCGAGUAGGACAAGGGUUUGUUGAAGCGGAAUUCAACUGGUUUUGUGAUUUUGUCGAGCAGCGAUGUGAUGUUAUAUUAUUGUUGUAUAUAUCAGGUGGAUUGAAAUUUAAGGAUUUAUUUCAUUGAGAUUUUCAAUAUUUUUUUUUUCAUUCUUGGAAUAUUGGUAUGUUCUAUUUAUAUUUGAGUUUUAGAAAAUAUAUUGAUUUAUUGAGCAAUUACCAUGAAAAUUCUGAUAGUGUUGAGGAUUUUUUGUUAAAAGUGUUAACAAAAAAAAAAGGCGGUAGACAUAAUGAUAAUUUCAAGAAAAAAUUACUAUGAUUUUAAAAACAAAAAAUUUAGUAAUACAGUGUGCAAAACUUGGACAAUAUCGAUAGUUCCGAUAAUACUCAGGAUUUUGAAUUAAGUUUAACCAAUUAUUUAAAAUUUAUUAAAAUUCAUGAUAUCCAGAUAUUAAUGUGUUUUUGAAUUAUAUAAAAUAAUUAUUUUUUGUGAGAUUAUUUAGUAUAUUUUAACUUUUAUUUGUGCUGAGAUCCGAAGCAUCAAUAUUCUUGCGGGAAACCGGGACAAGGCUUUCAAGGCCUAGUUGAGACUCCUGGGCCGAAACUCAGAACCGGAGGCCCAGUCUUCUGCUGAGAACCUGAGGUUCCAACAAAAAGGACUCGUGUUCGAAGUCUUCAAGCCUUUAUCAUUUAUUAUAGAAAUAUAAUUAAUAAUUAAUAAAAUAUAAUAUAAAUAACUUUCACAAAUAUUAUAUAGUCAAAAAUAGUAAAUUAUUAAUAUUUUAUUUAUAAUUAAUUCUCUGAAUAAAUUUAUUUAAGAUACGUGUAAAAUCACCUCAUCUUAAACUCGCGUAACACCUCUAAACAUACUAAUAUAUAUAUUUUUUAUACAUUUUAUACCGUAACUUCCAUCAUAUAAUUACAAUUACAAUAUGUGCACAACAAAUAAAGGCACAAAAUUAAUUUAUAAACACACAAAAACUAAAUAUUUUUCAUGUAUAUGAAAUAAUUAAACAUAAAGUAGACGAAAAUAUUUAUAACAUAAUUUUACAAAUAACAUAGAAAAUAUUUUUUUUUUGAAAUAAUAACAUAGAAAAUAUUUAAAAAAAGAAAUGGGUACAAGUGGUCAAAGUUGAGCCCAUGACCAAUAAUCAAACAAAGUCCUGUAACUUUCAAUCAAAGCAAUCACUAUAAACGCCAACUAAGACCCUCGUGCGGUGAUGGAAAAGUAGAAAGCAUAAUUUGUAACCAACACAUUCUCUCUACUAAAUCUCUGUCCUUUUGCAUUUGGAGUGUCCUUUUCAACUUCUAAAAUAACUACUCCCUCCGUCCCCCUGAGUAGUAUACAUUGGGGGACGGGGACGCGGCACGGACUUUAAUGCUUCUGUAAAGUGCAGUCGUGUAAUUUAUUUUUAAAAUUUUCUUUUUCUGAAUUAAAGUUUGGAUGUUAUAUUUUUAUUUAGAAAAAGAAAAUCUCAAAAAUAAGUUACGAAACUAUAUUUUAUAAGAGCAUUGAAAUGCGUGUCGAGCAGUUGAAAAGAAACGUAUACAAUUAAAUGGGACAGAGGGAGUAGUUGAGAAUCCGCGCGUUGCGGCGGCCUAUAAAUAUUAUAUUAAUGAUUUAGUAUUAAUAUUUGACAUUAGUAGAAUAAAAUAAUUUUGUGGUUGUCUAUAAAAAAUAUAUUAAUGAUUCAAAAUUAAUAUUUGUAAGAUAAAAUAAAUUUUAUAUAAUAAAAAUCAUGAUGUAAUACCAAUAAUAAUAUAUAAAAUUGCAAAAUUGGACUAUAAUUCAUGGUGAAAAAAUGAAAAUAAAUCUAUACAAGUAAUUAACAAUUUAAAGGACGACGAAUCUUAAUUUUAUUUGUGUUUUUUUGAAAAGUAAUCAUGUUCUUACAUUAUCACCUUCCUUGUGCACGAAAACAUGUAACUUAAAUCCGUGAGAUAGUGGUCUAUAACUACCCUUGCUUGUAACAACCUUUUUUUUAAUGUAUAAACAGCCAUCACUUAAAAGUUGGUUGAACGAAGCAAACAAAUAAUACAUGAAUAAUUUUUUCCUGUAUACAAAGUAAAUCAUAUAAAAAUUAACAACAACAAACAUGUAUGAUUAACAAAACAAAUAUUAUAAAAAAGUAACCAACAAACAUACAUCACUAAUAGUUCGAUUUAUUGAUAUCGUCCAUAAAUAUCAUGUCAAUACUAUAUUCUUUACCCGUGUUUGGAUUUGUCGACUCCCACAUAGCAGUCUAUAACUACCUUUCCUUGCAACAACCUUUAUUUUUUUAAUACUGUAUAAACAGCCUUCACUUAUCGUCGCAGAAGAACGACACCACCGAGUUAGAAAUCGAGUAAGAGAACUAUCACCAGAGAGAUGUAGGAUUGUGGUAUUGAGAAGGAGGAGGUUGUGUUUUAACGAUUCAAAACCUUACGAUCUAUACGGGUAUUUAUAGGUGCAGAGAGACUUGUAUGCUAUUAUUUCCCAUAAUUAAAUAAUCUGAAACAAAAUCAUAUUAAAAUUUUCAAACUACUAUAUUCCAUAAAUAAUCUGAAACAAAAUCAGAUUAUGAAACUUGCUUCUAAUAUACCCAACACUAAAAAAGGUAGUUUUAAUUUUUAAUAUUUUUCACCCAAAAAUUUCAGAAAAUUAGAAAAAUAGAACAGAACGAUAUGAGAGGCGCCACAUACACGCCCCUCGCUUCUCCUUUAUAUAAGUACUAGUUGAGAAGCCGCGCGUUGCGGCGGCCUAUAAAAAUUACAUUAAUGAUUUAAUAUUAAUAUUUAUAGAAUAAUAUAAUUUUGUGGUUGUCUAUAAAAUAUAUAUUAAUGUUUCAAAAUUAAUAUUUGUAGGAUAAAAUAAAUUUUAUAUUAUAAAAAUCUUGAUGUAAUAUCAAUACUAAUAUAUAAAAUUGCAAAAUUGCAAUAUAAUUCAUGGUGAAAAAUUGAAAAUAAAUUUAUACACGUAUUAACAAUUUAAAGCACGAUGAAUCUUAAUUUUAUUUGUGUUUUUUUUAAAGUAAUCAUUUUCUUACAUUGUCACCUUCCUCCAAUUUUUUUGGAUUGAUUGAGCACAAAAACAUCUAACUUAAAUCCGUGAAAUAGCGUCUAUAACUACCCUUACUUCUAACAAUUUUUAUUUUUUAAUACUGUAUAAACAGUCUUCACUUAAAAGUUGCUUGAACGGAGCAAACAAAUUGUGCAUGAAUAAUUUUUUCCUGUAUACAAAGUAAUUUAUAUAAAAAUUAAUAAAAACAAACAUAUCCGACGAACAAAACAAAUAUUAUAAAAGAAUAACCAACAGACAUACAUCACUGAUAGUUAAUUUAUUGAUAUCAUCCAUCAAUAUCAUGUCAAGACUAUAUUCUUUUCCCGUGUUUGGAUUUGUCGACUCCCACAUAACGGUCUAUAACUACCAUUGAGAGAGGUAGGGUUGUGGUAAUAAAAGAGAAGGUUGUGUUUAGAUGAUCCAAAACCCUGCAAUCUAUAAGAGUAUUUAUAGGUGCAGAAAGACUUGUGUGCUACUAUUUCCCAUAAUUAAAUAAUCGGAAACAAAAUCAAAUUAAAACUUUCAAGCUACUAUAUUCCAUAAAUAAUCUGAAAUAAAAUCAGAUUCUGAAACUUUGUUUCCAAUAUACCCGAAACUAAAAAAGGUAGUUCUAAUUUUUGAUAUUUUUUAUCCAAAAAUUCUAGAAAAUUAAAAAAAUAGAACGGAGCGAUGUGAGAGGCGCCACCUACACGCCCCUCGCUUCUCCUUUAUAUAAGUAUAUUGAUAUUGAUUGCAGCCGAACCUCCCUUUUAUAAAAUUAUCCUCAGUAUCGAAAAAUACUAAAUAUAUGCCCCUGACUUAACUUUAAAAUUUUGAUUAAUGUACACCUGAUAAUAAUAUAAUCUCAUUAUGAAAACAUGGAUAAGGGUACUGUAUUUGUCAGAACUUUCCUUGAUGCAUCAAUGAGUACAUUUUGUCUACAUCAUAUUAUUUGAUCUUAAUUCGUCUACAAAUGAAUAGUAUUUGUUUGUACGGGCACUUGAUUUAUUAGAAAAGGGAGCUUCAUGCGAAAUCACCUACUCCCAACUUUUGUAAACUAGUUAUUGGUUUUAACAAAAUCUAAUAAAAACUCAUGCAAGCAUAAAUUCCAUGCACGUUGUAUUCACAAUACAGUGCUUGUUUAACAUAGAUUAAAAAUCUUUUAUAAGUCGAAAUCUGUAUACGAAUUAUAACAUAGAUUAAAAAUCUUUUAUAAGUCGUAUACGAAUUAUUUUUAAGUUAAGUCAAAGGGCACGAAGAUAAGAUAGAGUGAGUUCCACGGGGCGCUAUUGUCUUGAUGCAACUUUAGCCUUCUGCUUUUGCCCCCACUUCCAAGUCUCCAUGCGUGCGUAUGUACUGUUGUAUAUGUCUCUAUACAUCGAUUAGAUGCUCAAUAAGCUGGUUUAUAAGCAUGCUCACACAGUCACACUUCUUUAUGCAUGUCUGCUUAGUAUAUAUAGUAACCAGCCUUUUCACACUCUAGCUGCGUCUUCGAUCUUAAAUCGAUCUGUUCCAGUUUGUUCUAAUUAUACAUGGCUCGCUUAAGAGCGCCUUUGAUCUUUAUCUAUCUCGUUCUGAUAUGUUGCAUCACGCCGAGAACUGAAUCGAGAAAGACGUUCAGAAAUGUUAUGGUGGCGACUUCAGUUCCGAAAUUGGACCACAAAGACCCUAUGGUGUCGAGUUCACUUCCAAAGAUGACUGUUCCACCUUCAGCUCCUAGUGGUAAGACUCAUGCUAAAAACCUGGUUAGUCGAAGACUCAUCGGUUAUUUUGCUCGUAUUCACCGGACCAUGCAGUCUGCUCCGAGUCCUGGAGUUGGCCAUUGAUCAAAUAUGUCAGUAGAGUGUUCAUCCCCGAGGUUACUGUACUGCUGUACGUGAUUUUCUUUGUAAAGAUUGAAUUGAUCAAGCUUUAUACUGUAUUACUUUUCUCAUAUACACGGAAUUACAGAUGUAUAGAGUGAGGCAUGUUGUAAAUAGAUAUUAUCAGAGGCGGAAUCAGGAGAUCCGAAACUCUCUGCUAAUUUUCAGUCUUGUGACAUUUUAAUUUAAUAUUUUAAUCCCGCCUCAUUUCAAAUUCUGGUUCGGUCUUAUGCAUACGAGAGUGAUUAUGUUUGGUUAUGUGAAUGAUGGAACUGAGGCCAUCUGUGCGGUGUGUAUAGCUCCAAUCAAUAAGUUGUAAGAUAAGCGAAGUUGCGGAGCCUUUCACGUUAACAAUAAAGGCCAGAGUUCUGAGCUGUGACGGGGUCUUGAACAGUGUUGCACAGUGUGAAGUUUUGUAGUUAGCUUGGCUGUCACAUUUUGGAUAUUGUAUGUAGGGUUGUAACUUGUAACGUGUGAACUAUCUUUGUCGAGAAUAAAGCUAGCUCCAUCCAAUUCAUCUGCGAUCCUUAUUCAAUUAUUAGUGCAUUUUAAUGAAGAUUUGGUACAAAAACUUUAAUGGCGAGGAGGAAGGUUCAGAGCACACUCCCAUCAAUGGGGUUAACAACUUAACAUCACUUUUUUAUAAAAAGCAUUAUCCACGGUUUCACGAAAAAGACGCCGACGGAGUGUGUCAACAUAAGUUCUGGCGUUCUGCAUCAUAAAAAUAAAAGAAGAUUUGUUUUCAAUAUAGAUAUUAAAAUGGUUCCAUUAGUAUGUUGUCAUUAAAAAAAAAACACUCCUUGGACAAUCUCAUCGCUUCAUCCAAAUGUGUAAAAGAUCUACAAAUUCGUGUCGACUUGACUGCGACGAUGGAAUACUAAUGUGGAGUUGAUUGAUGUUGUAGAGCCCAACAAGUGGUACCACAGUCACUUAAAAAAUUCAUCAUGAGAUUGCAGAUUGUAAUUGCGUGAUGGAGUGGCUCUCCAUAAAUGUGAUUGGAGUCUUGAAUGGCUUGUGUCGAAAAUCUUCCUCUGACUAAGAUGAUCAGCAUUUGGUUGAGGAGAGACCAUUGAGUGAGUGUUAAUCCAAAAAAUCUUACAUUGUAAAGAUAAAGAAUAUUGUCUUAAAUAUAAACAGUCAAAUAGUCUAAUUAGUAUGAAGUCUUUUGAGAGACGUUCAAAAACAAAUUCGUGCAAACUUGAUCAUCAUUUGGAACAAAUAAUACCACAGUGAUGUGGACUUAAUGACAUCGUACGAUCCAACAAAAAUUACAAUUAUAAUAACCACCCUCUCAGUGAUAUAGUGAUAUUCAAUUUUCCUUUUAUUGGUUGGCAAAAAGAAGUUCAAAAAAUUCAUAGUUCUGUGUAAGUAAAACAUCUUAGGAUUUCAAAAAUACGAUAUGAUCAUCAUAAUUCGGUCAUCUUUUGAUUAGAAUGAGAGGAAUUAUUAAAAAUAUAAUACGAUUACGAAGAGUGCUCCUCGCAGGAUGAGAAUCAAUUAAUUAAACAAAAAUCGUCUCUCAUGACUCAUGUUAUAGAUAAUAUAUCUAGUGAAAAUUUAAAUCUUUCAUUAUAAUAGAACAUUUCUCUUAGAUAAAUUCGAGCUUAUAGAUAAAACGUCGAGAAAUGAAAAUUGGGCCAGCUCGUAACAGGAUGGAGGAUGAAAAUACGGUUGAAACACAGGGCAAAACAUGGAUGCGGGCCUUUGAGAAGUUGAAGCCCAGUUCUUUUUUAGCCCUGUUCCCGAGCCUCUGUGAAGCUGAAGCCCAGUUAAGUUUGUUUUAUUCCUGUAUGGCCUUUGAGAAGUUCAAGCCCAGAUCUUUUUUAGCCCUGUUCCCGAGCCGUUGUGAAGCUGAAGCCCAGUUAUGUUUGUUUUAUUCCUGUAUCUCACAAAUACCGUCUCUCCCUUGGUUUACGUUUUGAGCAGAGAUUAAUUCACACAUUCGCCUCCCGCUCUUUUCCCCGAACUUCAAUUUUUCACCACUAUCUCUCUCCCAGUCUCUCUCCAUCUCUCCCUGCCUCUCUCCCUACACACACUCAUCUUUCACUACACAUCAAAUUAUUUGAAUUGAACUGAAUCUGAAGAUGAGAGAAGAAGAUGUAGAAAAGCUAAGAGGUGUGAUUAGGGACUGUAUGAGCAAGCAUCUCUACUCCUCCGCCAUCUUCUUCGCCGAUAAAGUCGCCGCCAUCACUUCCGAUCCGGCCGAUAUCUAUAUGCAAGCCCAAGCUCUCUUCCUCGGCCGCCAUUAUCGCCGUGCCUUUCAUCUCCUCAACGCCUCCAAAAUCGUCCUCCGCGAUCUCCGCUUUCGAUACCUAGCCGCCAAGUGUCUCGUAUGUCUCCUUCUCGCUGUCUCUCACUUGACUUUCUUGAUUUCUGUUCCAAUUUUGUGAUAAUAAUGUGCUGCUUUGAUUAAUUCAAUUGUUUUUUAGUUAGGGUUUUUUGAUUUAGUAUGCUUAGUCAUGUGUUGUUUUGGUAGAAUUUGGCUUUAAUUGUCCUUGUAUUGUUAAAUGUAUAGAUCCUCGUGUCAUGUUAGCUUAUCACUAUGAUAAAUUUGUGAAUGUUUGUAUAGAGUUAUAAGCUUGUGCAGGCUAGUCAUUGUCGUAAUUCUGCUAAAUUGAUUAUACAUGUACUGGAAAAUAUUUUGAAAUUACAACAUAUGCCUUUGUACUUGAAAGAGUCCAAAUGAGUUAAGUACUGGAGUAAAGCUGACACAGUGCCAAUAAUUUAAAAAGAAUCCGUGAGAAGAAUUUUUGAAGUUUGGCAUGUGAAUAUCAGGAGAGUGUAAGAAUGCCAUAUUCUCCUCCGGUCCUCCUUGUUGCCAAAUUAAUGCUUUCUAUAUGUAUGUGAUCAGGAAGAGCUGAAGGAGUGGGACCAAUGUCUUUUAAUGCUUGGUGAUGCUAAAGUGGAUGAAUAUGGAAAUAUUAGCCACACAAAGGAUUGCAAUCUUAUGUAUUUUGAUAAAGACGCAGAGGAUCGUGAAAUUAAUGUGAGUAUCCUUUGGACUUAGUAAAUGUGGGCAUUGUAUGUGACUUUCAUCACAUCAGCGCUGCCUACUUGCAUUCUAUAGAUCUAGUUUCACGUAGAGCUCUAUUAGAAUGACUAUUUCUGUUCUAUUUUAUCGCACAGAUCAGUAUUACAAAUUUACUUUCAGUGACAAUCUUUUUAUCUUGAAACAGAUUUCAUCAGCUAUAUGCUUCCUUAGAGGGAAGGCCUAUGAAGCUCUAGAAAACCGUACACAGGCUCGGCUGUGGUUAGUUCAUAGUUAAUCUACAUACAUUUUUGAUAUUAUUAGACUGUAUAGAUGUAUGAUAUUACUUAUUUGUUGAAAGUUUUGUCUAUUCUUUGAAUAUUAUGAGUACUUUUUGUACAAGGAGAAUGAUGGGAUGGGUAAUCAGCUACUUCUGGAAAAAUUAGUAUGCAGACGCAGCUGAAUUAUCCGAUGCUACAGAACUGGGUUUUAUAUCUUUAAUAACCAAUAAAUUUUCUGAUUUACUUUUUAGCCUAUGGAACUAAAUAAAUUUGUGUUUAUAUGUAUGGCUUAUUGUUGAAGUUGCCACUUAAGAAUAUCAGUGGAUCAGGAUAUUCGAUCUGAGGCUAACGGAUCCGAGAGGGAUCCUUCAGAAAAAGUCCUAGCCAAUAAUGACCUGAUGAUAAGGACUGGAUAUGGAUUUAGUACGAUCCGAGCCAUUAACAGCGCAAUGCGACUAUUUUUAUAUAUAUGUAUUAUGUAUUAAAUUUAUAAUGUGAAUAAUAGAACAAAUGGUAACAAGUUGCAUUUGUUUUUUAGUGCUUGUAUCUUUUACCAGGACGCUCAUCGAUAAUUACUAAAGUUAAUAUUUCAUUAGACUUGAUGGUUAUUAAGAUUAAUUAUACUUUUUUAUAGUACAUUAUCGACUAUAAUAUAUACUUUUUAUAUUUGUUACUUUUAUAUUACAACUAAACUAAUGUCCUCUUUUUUUACAAAUAAUAAUUAAAUACGUCGCAGCUCUGAUUCGAUUAUCCAUGACCCUAGUGGCUAGUGCUAUGUGACUCGUACUCGAGUACUAGAAGUGUCCGACAUGGAUACGUGUCCAUGUGUCAGACUCGGUAAUAUUUUGAAAAUGUACAUAUUUUUGGCCUAAAAUAAGUGUCCUAGUCCAAGUGUCCAUAUCCAAGUGUCCGACACAGGUACUUCGAGACAAAAUAAGGAGUCCAAGUAACAUAGCCCUAAUGGAUUGGGUGUGGAUCGGCCUGUCAAAAAUCGGUAUGAUCCGAUUCAAAUGCAACAAAAUUAUAUGGAUCCGGAUAUGGAUUUAGGUUGAACCGACCGAACCCAAUCCAUUGUCAGGCCUAAUGCCAAUUUGGCUAAUAAUGUCAGUUUAAUUUUAUUCCUUUCUUUAUCAACAUUAGUGUACUUAUAUAAAAGGUUAAGUAAAUAUAAAGAUUCUAUAUUUGAAUUAAAAAUUGUAUGAAUACAUUUAUAAUUUAAACCACAGUAAUACUAAUCUUAAGAGCUUCCGAAUGUCUGUUGAAUUGUAUAGGUAGCUUAGUCACCUUCCUCCCCUUGGUUUCUCCUAAGCGCUCUGUGCGGUUAUACCACAUGAAUGAGCUUUAGCAGUACCCCUAACUAUUUUUUCACUACUGUAUUAGAAAUUUUAUCAGGCUAUUACAUAGAUAUAGAUAAUUGAACAAAUUAUCCAACAGAAGUGACACAAUGGCGGUUCAGAGAUAUCCAUUGUUUUAUUGUGUGGAUAAAGAAGAAUAACUUUGUUUCUUUUUAUUUGGUCGAUUCUAUGUUCUUGUAUGCUGGCAUAUACUUGUAUGUAUCUAAAUAUAUAUCGAAUGAACAAAGUUUUUUAGACAAGUUUAUGCAGAUAUUAGUCGUGCAAUGUGAUAUCUUGAAGUUUAUUUUGAACUGUAUAUAUAAUGCUUUGAUAGUACUAUGCUCUGAUUAAUUUUUCUGAAUUGGAUAUAGAGAGAAGGAAGAAAUUAUAAUUUCAUUCAUGCUUAUGCUAAAAUGAGUGGGUUGGUGUUUUAGAAUAAACUUCAUUAGGCUAGGUAUCGUCAACCAAUUGCGAAACUGUUUCCUUUGAACUAAUGUUAUGCAACUUAGAAAUCUGUUUUAUGGGCUGUAUCACUAUCGCCUUAUAUCAGAAAUUUGCUUUUACAUUAUCUUUAUAUAUUUUUAUAAUUCUAUACUUUCAAUUUGUUUAAGCGUGUCAAUGAAUGGAAAGAUUGAUUUUACGUAUUUAUAAUGCCAGGUACAAAGCUGCUGUUAAAGCUGACCCCUUAUGUUACGAGGUUAGUUACGUGCAAUCCGGGUAGUGUAGAUACCCGGAUGAUUUUAUUCUGCAUGUUCAACAGUCAUUAAAGUUUGUUUUAAUACAUUCUUUAUACAACUACAUUCCUAAAUAAUGUUCAUUUUCAGCUAUUAGCUCCCAGGCUUUUGUCCACAUCUCGUGCUUGUUUUAUUAAUUGUUUCCUUUUUAACUCCUUGUCUUCUCUCUUAUACAGGCAUUGGAAUGCCUCAUUGACAACUAUAUGCUCACAAGUGAAGAAGGUGAGAAUUGAGAUAUUUCGUCAUUGAUUAACAAUUAUUGACAAGGACGCCAGCAGCUAUUGAAUUUGUAAUGUUGGGUUGUCUAUUUCUCUUCUCAUAAUUUGCUUAUUGGUGUUCCAAGUGCAUCUAAAUGUAAAUUGGCAUUAUCUGGUAGUUACUAUAUUACCCUAGUUAAAGAUCUGAUAUGCUUCUUUACUUCAUUUGUAAAUUUCAGAGGUAACUCUACUAUCAUCGCUGCAAUUUGCUCCUGAAGAUGAGUGGCUGUCUUCUUUCUAUUCAUGCUUAGUAAGAAAGGUAAUUACUUGUAACUGUUUAUAUACUGUGAAGAUUGUACUCCGAAUACAUGCACCUCUUGAUCAGUUCGUAUGCUAGUUAGUCUUAUUAUCUUUGUUGACACAUUGUUCUUCUGCUUACUGAAACAAUGGCUUUGUUUCUUUGUUUUGUCCAGUAUGAUAAAGAAAAUACUGUUGAAGCCAAAUUCAAAGAACUAGAACAAGAAGGCUCUGAUAUUAAAUCAUCCAAUCAGUCCAUAUGUACAUUGAAAAACAACACUGAUCUGCUGGCUUGCAAGGCCGAGUACUACCAUCAGUGUGGUGAAUACCAAAAAUGCUUUGAAUUAACUUCGGAGUAAGUUUGCAAUAGCUGAUAUGUGUGUGUGUGUGUGUGUGUGUGUGUGUGUGUGUGUGUGUGUGUGUUUGGACUGUUUUGUUUGCAUUUCCUUUUAUGCCCUCCUAAUUUGAUCAUAUCCUAAAAUAAUAAGAAUUUUUGCUUGUAAAUUUUAUUUCAGUUUGCUCGAAAAAGACCCUUUUCAUCUGAAAUGUACCUUAGUACAUUUAGCAGCUGCUAUGGAAUUGGGGCACUCAAAUGAGCUCUAUCUUAUGGCAUGCAACUUGACAAAGGAUUAUCCUCAAAAGUAAGAAUGGUUUGUUUUAGUUGCAAUUUACAAAUGGUUUUGACGUCUCUCUGUUCUGCACGUUUUUGGCUUGGUCUAUACUUUUAGUGUUUUGCACAUGGGAGAAAAUACUUUCCAUCCCUUCAUUGUUAAACUUAAAAGAAUGUUGAUCACUAAUCAUAUAGCAAAACAAAUAAGGCAUUGUAAAUACUGCAAUAAGUUGCAAAUACUCGAACUGGGAUAUAUAGCUCAGCUUACAUCUAUUUAUAAAAAAUAGAGAACUCCAAAUUUAUUAUGUUGUUAUAUACACAUUCUUUUAGGCAAUACAUGUUCAUUAAACAUUUAAACUAAACCUGUAUUUUUUUAUUUUUAUUUUUUUUUUGUCAGGAAACUAAACCUGUAUUUAAAUGGCUGCUAAGUUAUCUUUUUUCAGAACUUAGUUCAACCUUAAACUUCUACGGUUUGAAGGGAAAUUAAAGUACCCAAAUGUAGCAGUAGUUAUGCUUUUAGUAAUCCAAUGUGUUUGGUUCAAAUCACUUUCUCUUAUACCCCUAUUUAAUUGAAUGGUCAUACCAUCUAUAUUUCCCUGUUCUCCACCAGUUUGAAUCAUGCUACCACAUUGUAUUUUUUUUAAUCUUUCUUUUUAAUGUGAUUGCUGACGCUUAAUGUUAAGCGAACAACUGACUCAUUUUCUUCUGUUUCUCCCAGGGCUCUGUCUUGGUUUGCCGUUGGUUGCUAUUAUUAUUGCAUUAAAAAAUAUGAUCAAUCAAGGCGUUAUUUCAGGUAAAAUCUGUUCAAGUCUUGCUGAUGUCAGCACAUAAACAUUUUCAGCAUAAAAUUCCAACUGCAUAAUAUGGACAGUUGAAGACUUGCUGGUACCCGGACUUGGCUAAAAGUGCCAAUAUGGAUACGUGUUCGAGUGUCGGACUAGGCAUUUUGCCAAAAAUUUGGUGUCUGUACCUAUGUCCGAGUGUCUGGCACAGGCACUCAAGGCACAAUGAAGAGUCGGGGUAACAUAGGCUGGUACUACACAAAAUAAGAUAUAUUGCCAUGUAGGAGGGUUUGCUUAGUGUUUAGUGACAAACUUGUACUAUACAAAAUCUAAAUGGUAUGAGGGAGAGUGGAUCAUUACUUCUCAAGUUAGGGGGUUUAAACUUUAACCUGUAGCAAGGAAUGAAUUUUUUGAAAAUCUAUCCAUAAUGUAGUUCAAUUCGCAUUCCAUUUCUUUCAAAUUAAUGCAUCAAUCAUCCUAAUCCCAAUUAAACACAACAUUAUUAUCAUAUAUACCCUCUGUCCCACCCAAUUGUUAACAUUUUGGCUGGGCACGGAACGGAGAUUAAGAAAAGUUAAAAUGGAAUAAAAAGUGGCUGAGUUGGUGGGAUCUACUAAAAUUAUUGAAAAAACAUGUAUUGUGUUAGAAAAUGUUAGCAAAGGGUCGGGGAUCCCAAAAAGAAAAGUGCUAACAAUUGGGUGGCAGGGUGGGAGUACUUAUAUAGGUUUCAUAAUUGUUGUUGCGUAUUUGCUAUGAUACUUACAUUUGUUUCUCCAAAGAUCUACUUGUGGUUUUUUAUGGAUUUGGUAUCAGGUACUUCUAGUUAUGCUUUAAACUUGCCAAAUAGUGUAGUUGUGGCCUAUGGGUAUACGAUGAAUGCAAGAGGGUUCAAAUGUGACUAAAGAGGGGACACGCAUGCGCAUUGAUUCUUUCUGAAAUUAUCUUCUGAUAAUUCUCUUGCUUUAUUGAAAAUUUUGAUUUGAAUAAUUUUCAUUGCUUAUCAGUGUUAAACAACACUGGUAGGUUUUAAAAAUCAUUAACUUCUUUAGUUACAAACUAAAAUCGGAAAGAAUGUUGAUUGGUUUUGGUUUCCAAUUUCCUAUGCUUAACUCUUAAGGUGCCUUUAGUACGUGUGCUGUAAUUCUGAUGCAGCUUUUAGCUAGUAAGAUUGGACACAAUGAGGCUACUACUAACAUGAUACCUCCUGGAUAAUUUUAUUUGUGGAGGCUUGUGCAUGGUUAGGGAUGAUCCUCAAGUCUCAAUUUCACAAUUUAAUUGUGACACCUCCCACUUGCCUACAUGUAACAAAGAAGAAUAGCUAAAAAAAACUCAUGCAUAGCUGCAUCAUUUGAAUUUCUCAUUCUGCGGGUUUGGGUUUACGUUUUUAAUGUUAAUAUGACAGCAAGGCUACAAGUUUCGAUAGAACCUUUCCUCCAGCUUGGAUAGGUAUUGGAAAUGCUUAUGCAGCUCAAGAGGAAGGUGAUCAAGCAAUGUCAGCGUAUCGCACUGCUGCUCGUUUAUUUCCUGGGUAUUUUCUGCAUUCUUUUCCUUACAACCCUGAAAGUGUACAAAAUUCAUAAUUUAUGGUCAAAAGUAUACAACCCUUAAGGGUAAUAUUGGAAAAAAAAUUCAGCAAAAGUGUUGAAGUGUACAAAACUUAUAGUUAAGGGGUGAAAAUAUACAAUUUUUUCAUUUAAGGGUUCAUGUGUACAUCAGGUUAUACUUUAGGGGCUAUAUUCUAAUUAAGCCUAUAAACAAAAAAUUUAAAAGAUAGACCACUGUACUGCAAUUUGACGACUGGAUCUUCAGCAUACCCGUGAAGAAAUAUUGAUAGGUACAAUUUUUCAUGAUGCUAAUGUGGGAAAUUUGAGUUAUCUUAACGAUUGUCAUUGUAGUUUGUACAAUGCACCUUCAUCUACGGUAAAACAACCAUUAUGUGAAGUAUAAAUAAUGUUAUAUGUUACACUCACUCGCUUCUGUGAAUUGGUAGGUUGGUUUGAUUGGUUAAAUUGACUAUUUUUAUUAUGCCAAGUAUUUAUAUCACUAUUCAGUUAAGGGCUACUUUAGUUGGCAUCUCUCAAAUUUCUCGGAUUGUUAUAAAGAAUAAAUAACAGUCUGUAGUCAAUUCUGUUGAUGCUUUCUAACCAUUUAUUUGUUAUAGCUUCCAUCUUUUUUAGCAAGUUUAAUAUACUAGUUUUUAUAUAUAGUCACGAGAAAUGUGCAUGUAUCACAUCUUGCCUCCUUGAUGGCUCUUGAAAAGGUUUAUAGUUCGUUUGAUCAUUAAAAUAGUGCUUAGUGAUUAAUGGCACCAUUUCAUUUGUUAAUUUAAGUUUCAAUUUGUGGAAGUACUUCGCAUAAAAGAAGAGGAUAGUAAUAUCAGUCCAUUGUGUUGAAAAUUUGACACUGGAGGAACUUUUAUGUUAUGAUAUCUAUUAUGUAACACUCUACAACCCUACAAAUUACCCUAAAACUAAGUUUCCAAAUUUGCGGGAUUCCAAUAAUUCUGUAACCUAAAUUAUAUUCUAUUAAUUGAAAUCAAUCCCGUAAUUUCAGUACACUGGAUAAUGUCGUGUGGGUUCCUAUACAAGGAAAGUCUGUGUAUACUGUAUAUGAUGGCAUCUUCAUACAGAACUCCCAUUACUUGUGUCAUAUGAAAUAAUUAUUUACGGUUUGAUUCUUGAUUCUAUUAUUCUAGGUGCCACUUACCAACUCUAUACAUUGGGAUGGAACAUAUGCGGACUAACAGCUUUAAACUUGCUGACCAGGUAUUUUUCAGUUAAUAUUAUACUUCCAUAUGUGAUAUGGCUCAUUUUCCCCUUGAUACGUGAGUUCUGCAUUGUAAUUAAAAUAAUUGUUAGUGUAUGUACAUCAACUAGUCCCCCCCCCCCCCCCCNNNNNNNNNNNNNNNNNNNNNNNNNNNNNNNNNNNNNNNNNNNNNNNNNNNNNNNNNNNNNNNNNNNNNNNNNNNNNNNNNNNNNNNNNNNNNNNNNNNNNNNNNNNNNNNNNNNNNNNNNNNNNNNNNNNNCCCCCCCCCCCCCCCAAAAAAAAAAACCUAUUGGUUGGUUGGUUCACAAGUAUAAUUCCUCUUUUUCCUUUAAUUUCCAAAUUUUUGUGAAUAACUUCCAAUCAAGUUUUUCUGCUUCUCAUUUGCUCUCUAGAGUAUUUCUAUUUUUUAAGUGUGUACUCAAGGAAACUCAGUGCAGUAUAGGUCUAUGCCACACUUGAACAAACCACUGCAGACUAUACUCUUGCAUCUUUUCUUUAUGCGAGAUCAGCUGACCGGCCUUGGUUAUAAUUCCUUUUUUUUUCCCCAUAAUUCCCAAAUUUUGUAAAUAACUUCCAAUCAAGUUUUUCUGUCUUUCAUUUGCUCUUUGGAAGUAUUUCUACAUUUAAAGUGUAAACUCGAAGAAACUCAGUGCAGUGUAGGUCUAUGCCACACAUGAACAAAUCACUCUAGACUAUACUCUUGCAUCUUUUCUUUAUGAAAGAUCAGCUGACCGGCCUUGGCAAUAAUGUCUUUGUUUCUAUUUCUCUCUUCUCUUCUCAUGUAGCCGCACAUUGAACGAGGCAUGCACACUUUCUAUACAUCCAUGUUGUCGAUAUGACUUAUGAUGGGAAACCAACCCUUUGUCCCAUAAAGCUGUAUUGACAUUCACCUAAUUUUCUUGAUACUUGCCUGUAACCUCUGCGGAAUGUCUCAGACAAACAUAAUCCUUUCACUUUUCCAAGUUACCCGAGCUGUCUAGAAUCUAUGCUUGACUUUACUAUCUUUUGCUCAACCUUUUUCGUAUAUCUAUGUCCAAGUGGUAUAUGUAGUAAGGUGGGCGCUUAUAUCAAAACCAGAAUUAAAUUUAGUACGGAGAAUUAUUCUUAGCUCCAUAACUUUUGUACUACUUUAAAUUCAAACCAUACAUAUUAGAGAAUCAAAGUAUAAUAUUUAUUUAAUGUUCUAAUAUGAUAUUUUCAUCAGUUUUUGACACAGGCAAAAACAAUCUGUCCAUCUGAUCCACUUGUACAGAAUGAACUUGGAGUUAGUGCAUAUCAUAUAAAGGAGUAAGGAUGCAUGACUCUUAUUUUUGUACCUGCAUUUUAGGAUGUAUUUAUUUUAAAUUAUCUUAUGUUGGAGAGGGGCCGAGAAGCGUCAUCUGAUGUUUUUAUUUGAAAUUUCUCAUUUAUUCUAAAACUUCUGUGUUCCUAAUUCUAAGAGUUCAAUAUGUAUAUUAUCUGAAAACAGUGCAUGACAUACACAAGUAAAAACCGAGAAGGUAAAUUUUGAAAAUUGUUGGUCGAUUUCAGAUCUAAAAAACAAUACCGCCUUCUAGAUAGGAAGAGAAUCCUUGACAAACGUAGAAUCUGAAAUCGAAAUAUGAAACUUUUAAUUCUUUGAGUCAUAGUCCGAUAUUGCCUCCUUGCUGCUCUAAGCUGACUUCGCCAGAUAUAGCACAGUUGCUCAAUUGUGCAAUUAAUACUUUCUGCACUGCAAUUUUUUACUGAUAUAUAAUGUCUCUCUCUGCCGCGCACGCUAGCACACACAAACUGAGAAAGAUAAUAUAAAGCAAAAGACUUGGUGUUCUAUUGAUCUAUGCAGAAGAUUUAACACAGAUAGUAUAAUAAGUUAAGCAUAUUUUGUUUUGCGAUAUUAUAUCUUGAGCCCCUCAUAUAAUUAUCUUUAGUCACGUAUCUAAAAAAGGUAUAUCUAUCUGCACGAGCUUAUUAUUAUGCGAAAUUCUUUCAGGUAUAUAACAGCUGUAUAUUGGUUUAAGAAGACCCUGGCUCACAUUCCGUCCUCUUUAAGUGUAAUGUGGGAGCCAACGGUGGUUAAUCUAGCACACGCAUUACGGAAAUUAAGGUCCAUUUUCCAGCAUCCCUUCUAACCUUUUAUAUGCUCAGUUGCUCACUACUUGAAGGGAGUUAUACUAAAUUAUACUCCCUCUGUCCCAUUGAAUUGUAUACAUUACUUUUUGGCGCGCUUUUUAAGACUCCUUUGAAGUAUAUUUUCAUAAUUUUUUGUUUUUUCUAAAUAAAAGCUUGAUGUUUAAACUUUUAUUCAAACAAAGAAAUUUUUUAAAAAAUAUUAUAAAACUAUACUUUAUAGGAGCCUCGAAAUGCGUGCAAAUAGUGAACGUAUACAUCCCAAUGGGACGGAGGGAGUAGGUUAUUACCUUUGUGUUAUAUUACAAAUUUGCCUAAUUCGUAUGGCAUCUAAAGCUAUGGUGUGCCGCUACUGCACCAAGACCACUAAAUAGGUACUUUCCCUGCAUUUGCACAAUUAUACUCCAGAAUUCGCACUCCUCAGAAUCAGAUUCAUGAAAUAGAUGGAUUCCUUUUUUCCUUAAUUUUCAACUUCCUUUAUAUAAUUUCCUAUCAAAACAAAGUAAAACAAUUAAUUAGAUCAUUUGUACGGAAAAAAACAAAGUAUCACAAUUAUAAGUAAUGCAUCUACCAUGCAGUACUCCAGGAGUAUUCUCAUUCUUGAGGUAUAUAGUGGAUUCAUACUCUCAAGUUUGAUAUCAUAAUUCAUCUGUACACCAUCAUUUAUAAUUUUAAAAAAGAAACUCUCAUUUUGGGAGUAAGUAUUUAACAUUAUUGAAUAGUUAUUGUGUACAAAUAUGGGCAAGUGUGACUCUUUUUCUGGAAGAGGGAGUAUAUUUACCCUUUUUUUAUAUCUAAAUGUAAAAUUGUAUAUCUUUCAGAGACUGUUUACUGCAACUAUAAAGUUUGUCCAAAUUAAAGGAAAGAAAAGUUAAUUUGGUAUUUUGGGACUCUAUUUAACAAAUCAAUUUUGUGGCAGGAGGUACCAGGAGGCAAUUUCUUACUAUGAAAAGGCACUGACAUUAUCAACCAGAAGCGUAAGCACUUAUGCAGGUCUUGCGUAUACUUAUCACUUGCAGGUAUUCUGCCUCUCCCGUAAAAAUUGUUCAGUUUGUAUAUGUUUGUUCAACAUCCGACAUUUGGACCAUUUAUCAUCAACAAUUUGAAACCUUAAUAAUCAUAACAGUAAGUAUGCAAUAGUAAGAUUCUUUACACUAGUAAUAGUCACAUAAAAAUCUCCUCCAAGUCAUGAAACAGUAUACAGAGUUUCUAUUCUUCACUCGCAGCCUGAACUCUGAGUGAGUUAUCUUACAAAGUUACAUGAUAGCCACGAACUAAUAAACAUAAAAUAAUAAUUAUGAGCACUGCAAACAACCAACAGAACUAAAAAGGUAAAUUUAGUAGUUUUUUGUUCUAAUAAUAAUUGUGAUAAUAAAACAUUUGAAUCGAUCAUCAUUAUUAAUAACAUGGCAAUGUAAUAUAAUUUGUAGUGGACAACAUGAUAUUUAGAAGGUGAUAUCUACAAAAAAAAAAAAAUUAUAGUUGUUUUGGACUGCUUUUGACCAAAAUUUAUGCAUUUGAUCCACCAAUAAUAUUUCUGUAAUCUGCACUGUUUUUUACAUACUGAUUAUCAUUUGUACGCCACCAAUGCAGGAUAAUUACAGCGAUGCAAUUACGUAUUAUCAUAAGGUAAGUUACUCUUUAGUUUAAAUGCUUAGUAGCUAACACAAUAUUAAGAAUACUGCUUAGGGCAUGAAAGACUUGUAUGGAUGACUUUACUCUUUACUAAUGGCUAGAGUACAAUUUAUUUUCUCUACUGUCAUUAAAAAAGUCAGAUCUGAAUGCUUUAUUGGUCAUUGUGCGUAAUUCAAUUUCUCAUUUACUUUCAUAUGCAAUUAGGCGUUGUGGCUAAAUCCCGAGGACCAAUUCUGCACGGAAAUGUUGACAUUAGCUCUUGCAGAUGAAAGCCGCAGUGGCAUUGAUUCCAUAACUAAAUCUCGGCGAGGCGAGCUGUUUAUGUAGUAGAACUAGAACUGGAAUGAUAAGAGGCUGUAUUUAUGUUGUAAUUGUACUAUAUCCAAUAUGUAGGCAGCAACUUUAUUUUUUUCUUGAAAGUGGAGAAAUAGAGCUGUUAGUGUUACAUUUGUAUUUAGCAUAAAAGAAAUUAUUUUUUUACAGAGUUCUGGUUACCUUUUUAGAGUUUCUGGAGCAACUGGCUGGCUAUUCAUUUCCCCAGAACCCGGUCCUUAUUUUUUAUUUUAAAAACAGAGCAGAACUAGUCUUUAGGCUAGAGCCAUCUUGAACAAAGACAAAAAUUGACGAAGAUGGUUAAACAGAGAUAUGUACUAGAGUGAAUCUGUGUGCAAAAGAUUUGUAGUCUUGCGUAAUAGUAUGACUGAUGAACAGACCUUUUCUGAUAAAAACAGGCCAAAACAGUUUGUUUUUUAAAAUAUAAACUAAAUUAUGGACUUGCAAAAAGAGAGGUGUCUUGGAGUAUGUUACUUUAGAUGUGGGUUUUGGCUUUCAGAACUAAGAGUAAUGGGGUCGUAACUUGGAAUUGGCUUUGACAUUUGUCAAGGACAUCAACUAUAAAACAAAAAAAUUUAGGAUCAAUGUGGCUCUUGAUUCCUUGAAACAAUUUCAGCAAAAUAAUAUUCUUUUGAAAUGAAAUCAAUGAUACAAACUACCAAUGCAAAUAUAAUGUUACUACUUCGUAACCCCAAAGAAAAGGUCUUAAUUGAUUUUGGAGAUAGCUGGUCAACUUUACAGAAUGGCACAAACUAAUUAUGGUCUUUUGGUAAAUACUUAUCUCUUGUCAUCCCAGGCUCUGCAUUCAAUUCUCGCUAGCAUGUCUACAUAAAUUGGUUUUGAUCAAAAUGGCAACUUUCUAAUUACGUUUCAGACUAUUUUUAAUUAACAAGGUUAUGAAGUUCAGAAUCUAUCAUCAUGCCGUAUGGUAAGGAUUUUUAAUCACUCUUUUCUCGGACUAUAUCAACAAGAUACUGAUUCAAGUUUUGGCCAAAUAUUUUGGUAGAAAAUGACUUUUCAACAUGUCGUCGGGCUUCUCUUCUCAUAUUCAGUGCCAGCUGUGGCUCCCCAAUCAAUUUACUCAUAGCCAAAGAGAAAGCUUCUGGAUUAGGGUCACAGAGGAACCCAGUUAUUCCAUCCUUGAUGGUCUCAACAGGGCCUCCACUAUUACAAGCUAUGACUGGCUUAUGGGCUGCCAUUGCCUCAAGGGGAACAAUCCCAAAGUGUUCAUCCUACACCAAAGUACAGUUACUUAGAAAUUUAAACACAUCAAAGCCACUCUUGUUCAUGCAUAAUAGACACACACACACACACACACACACACACACACACACACACACACACACACACACACUUUGGAAUCCCUGGUACCUUUGGUGUGUAAAGAACGCACAGGCAUUCGGAAAGAAAUGCGUUCCUUUCUGAUGUAGAACAAGAUGUGAUGAAUUUGACACGACCAGACACUCCCUCUCUAUCAGCCAGUGCUUUUAGCUCCUCCAAAUAUUCAACAUUUUCUCUUAGGCGUCUAUCAAAACCACCUAGAAGGAAAAAAAACAAAAAAGCAAUUCAUUUUAUUGCAUCUGCAAUAUAUGUCUGCUUAUGUAUCAGGGGGCUCCUAGUGCCAGUAUAUCAAGAAUUAGCAUUAGUCAAACAAAUUAGUUGCCCUCAUAUAUAAUCCAACAAAUCUGGUUACCACCCCUUCCAUAAGUAGUUCUUUUAAAUUUUCUUGGAAGAUUGCAUACACGUAAAGUUAUUGUAGGCAAGCUAUGAUAAUUUACACCAGGUAACCAAAUUGAGUUAAUUUCAAGGGAGCGGCCAAACUUUUCAGAGUUUUACAAAAAAAUGGCUGAUUUUCAACAAUGACAAUAUUGUGGCUGGACUUUUCCUCCGCCUUUUAAAAUGGUGGCUGCCGUCAACUCCUCACUAACGGGACUAACAGAGAUAGGGUAAAGUGGGAUUUUAAUUACAAAACAAAGGUCAUAAUUAAGCCAAUUAACAACUCACACAUAAUUGAAACACAAUAAACUGCAUUUCACAAACACAAUCACAAAAUCAAUGACAAACACAAAAUAAAAAACAUCUAGUAAUCUAGGGUUAAAAAUUACUCCUUGAAGCUCGAGAAGAAUAGCGUCGCCGGGACCACCGUUAGAAACAAACUCAUCGCGAAUCUUAACAUCUUAGAUGACUUGUUGUAUAAGCUGCUCAUCGCCAUUGAACUCGCCAUUAUUUUGAUAAAUCAGAGUGAAAUUGUGCACGAAAUUGAUGCAAAAUUAAGACAGUACCUACAGAUAUCGGUGAGGAGAGAGUGGUGUUAAUUGUGCUAAGAAUUGUUUGGGAGUUUAAGCUGGGAGUGAUUUAUAGAGAGAGAUGCAGAAAGAUUUAUAAAGAGAAGGAAUGAUGUGGGGAAAAAGAGAUAGACAUGGGAGAUUAACAAAAUCAAAUAUCUGAAUAUGGAAUUCAGCUGAGGGACCACUCUACCCCUAGCUCCGUUACUCCCGUUGGUGGGGGGGAGUUGACGGCAGCCACUGUAUUAAAAGACGGAGGAAAACUCCAGCCACAAUAUUAUCAUUUUUAAAACCCAGCCACUUUUUUGUAAAACUCUCGAAAGUUUAGCCAGUGCCUUGAAAUUUACUCUUAACCAAAUUUGAAAUGAUGGCAACUAAAGCAAUCAUGUUCAGGUCAUGCUGUCCCUAAUGGAAUAUAGGCAAGGUGGACAUUCGUUAAAAUAAAAUAUAGUAUAUGCGAGACAGGGUUACUUUAAGAGUUAAAAUUCUAUAUAUAUAAGGAAAAAACUUCUUAAGAGUUGCCAAUUAGAAUGAAUACACUCUAGGCCAACAAGCUGACUUGUAGGGACUGCAAAUAAAGAACAAAAUGAUGUAGAACAAUACUUAAGCUUACGACAUUGAUUUAUAUAGUUCUAACAACCCACUGACUACACGAGAUGAAGUUGAAGACAAGAAAUUACCAACUCUUCUGAACCAACAAUACAUCUUCAGUGCUAAAAAAUGAAAAAUAGAGCAUGUAGAGCAUUGGUGUAUGGCGAUACCAAAACAUGGAGCAAGCUUAACCUAUACAGAUAGCUUGAUAGAACAGAUCACAGAUAAGAUAUUAAGUACAAAUAAAGCCUGAUUUCAACCCACAAUAUGUCACAAACUUGCCUGCAAUGGUCAAGGUAGCAUCAGCCAAAUCAUGACCUUGGAGAACAUUUGUUUCAUCCUUGCAAAGCAUUGAGAAUGCAGAAAUAGCCAAGUCUAUGUUCUUUUUCCUUUCGUAUCGAUUGAUGGAAAGAAAAUUCAACCUGAAGAAAUUAGCUAGUAUUAUUAACUUACAAUUCAAAAGGACGGGAGCACAAAUUUUGCACUUCUGAUAUAUCAAUAGAUCUAAGAUAACAAGAAAUAAAAACAUUAUUCUUACUUUAAUGCAUCAGGUUCAUUAAACUGUUCCACAUUUACUGCUGGAUAAAGCACAGCUGGUCUAACUGAUUGUGAAUCAAGAUGUUUGAAUGUCUUCGCAAAAGUUGCCGCAGUAAAGUUGCUGUUAACCAGUAUUAAAUCUGCCAUUCCUGUACUUUUACCAGUAAUUGCAUAAGAACAUGUGUUUUUUUUUUUUUUUUUUGCAAAUAUCAUAUAAAUAGGAUAAUCUCAAGGAAAAUAUGAAACGGCAAACAAAGUCUACUAGACCUGUUGUUACUUCUUCAAUGAAGUCUAUGGGCUUCCGAUAUACCCUCCUCAGAGAAGUUGUAUGUUGAGCCAACAACAAAUCAGGAAAGUGGCAAUAAAAUACAACCUGUAUAGGCGGCAGACAAUAUGAGCGACUCCAAACCAUGGGCAUGACGGAGUUAACACUUUACAGUCAUGAUGGACGGGAAGUAAAUAAGAGGACAUGCAGGGAACUGGAAAGAAAAUAAGCUACACAAACACAAAAGCAUAACACUCAGCAUCAGUACAUAUGAAGUUCCAGUUUGCAAUGGUGUAUAGGGCAGUGAGAUGCCAUGAUUUCGAAAAAUCUCAGUUCCAAUGGGUAAUAUAGUUACUCUGAUCACUAUUGCAAACUGGUUUGCCUCCAGAACGAAUUUAUACUGGACAGCCUAAACUAUGAAGUACAACUAUCCACAAUUGGCCUAAUCUAUUACAAACAUUGAUUACCAGUUUUUUUUUAAAAAAAAUGUGAUUUUACAAUUAGCAUGAAUUUUAAAUAAAACUGUCAUUAGUCUACUAGGUAUAGUCAAAUGAAUCAAUUUUUUUUUUUAAAAAACCUUAAUAUCUAAUAUCAAAUUUAUAGUAAAUAACGUAUCAUCAUACUUAGAAAUCACCUUUGAAGACCUUUUCAGCUUCAUCAGUGGGAUAACUAUAGAGACCUGAUCGACGAGUACAACAUCAAAGGAUUUCCACAUAAAUAACAUACAGAGGGCAACAAAUAUACAGCGAAGAUAUGCACAUAAUGCAUGAAAAUGCUGGAAGAAAUGUCGGGGCAGGAAAGAACCAUAUACUGUAACCGGAAAAGUACCUGGACAAAAUUUCAUAUAUAACCAGAUGAGUAGUCAAUUAUUUCCGAAUGUGCAAUACAACCAUUUGACAAUCUCAAUUACUCACCGGUAAGAGUCUCCUCAAAACAUCGACUUUUAUCAUGGUGUGCAGUAAAAAUAUGAACAUUAUGCCCGUGGGAUGCAAGUUGUACAGCAGCGUCAACAAUUAACCUUUCUGCUCCACCUACUCGUCAUAUCCGGUAACAUCAUACUUAGGUUAGAAACAGACCUUGAGGUAAAGGAGUAACAUCACAAAUAAAAGAAUAACUACAGAGCAGUAAUAUAUAAAUUAUAUAAGCAGCAAUCAACUAUAGACUCUCAAAAACAGACAGAGCACAGUAUCAUGUGGUUUUUAUCUAAGAAUGCCUAUGUUUUCUAAGUACUAGCGUUUUACCCGAAUCUACACCAAAUUUCUCCAUCCUCAGAUCAUCUAUAAUUACCGUAAUUCAAUUAUCCUAUCAUUACAAAUCAUCUACCAAAUUCCUCUAUAAACUCCUUCACAACAGAUCUCGACUUGAUCAACGUGUAUAGAUUAUCAGAAUUUGUAGCCUCUCGAUGAACUUCCAAGUCACAACAGUCAACAUACAUAUCAACAUCAAAUAUGCACAAAUUUUGAAAGCAAGCAACAUGAUAAAGAGAAUAAUCUCAAAUAAGCGCACAUUGUAAUUAAGUUAUUAAAUACACUAAACUCCACAAAAUAAUAACCAGGCUAAAAUAAUAUUUUUUUGGAUCAUAAUAUACUAGCUGUCUAGCUCGCAUAAUAUAUUUUUAUUCUUGAUAAAAUAAUAAAUUCGAUAAAAUAAUAUAUUUCUUUCCGAUCACGAAGCUCUUUAAGAGAUGAGAGGGAUUAGCAGAGUACCUAUUCCCAGAUCGGGAUGUAUGAUCCCGAUGUUUAACUUUAAUCCCCUUCUUGUCUCCAUUCAAUCUGUGUGUGUUCUGUACGAGUACGAUCAAAACUAGGCCUGUAAAUGGAUCGGAUAUCCGAUCCGACCCGAUCCGAUCCGUGGUUAAAUAAAUGGAUAUGGAUCCUUAUUAAAAAAAUCCGAUCUGCUAAUAAUCCGAUCCGAUAAUAAUCCGGUCCGAUAAAGAAUGGAUAUGGAUAUGGUCAAAUCCGAUCUGUUAACGAUCCAAUCCGAUUCAUGCUUAAUUAUAUUAUAUAUUUUAUAUUAUAUUGUAUUAUAAUAUAAUAUAUUAUUAUUAAUAUAUUACAUACAAAAUAAAAAUUUCUAAAGAUACAAGACAAAACCCUAAAUCAUAUUUUCUUAUAAUCGAUCAGCCGCUCCUAAUUCUUGACAUGGCUCUCACUCUUGUUAUCCGGUUAAUCUAAUAAUCACUCUUUUUUUAUGUAGAGUGAGUAUAAACACAUGAGCUAACUCUUCCACUUAAAAUCUACUCAAUCACCUGGUUCCGUAUUUAAGACAUAUUUAUCGAUUUUAAUCCUUAUUAAUAGAGGAGUAAAUUAUAAUUUGCUUCCUCCAAUGUAUUAAGCAACUUAUUUAUUAUUUUUCUAUUUACUUGAUAAAUUCUGUGUUGAAGUUUUUAUCGGAACAACCAACAAAGUUUUUAUUAAAUACUGAUAUAUUAGUUUUUUUACCUAUUACGCUAAAGUUUAUGAAUUAAUAUAGCUAGAAAAUAUCUCUUUUUUUUUUGUAUGGAAGUUAAAACAUUGUUCACGGUGAAAAAAUAUAUUUCAUAAUUUUUGGUGGAUCGGGGCUCCGAUCCGAUUAUCUAUGAUCCGAGUGGACCGGAUAUGGAUUGACUUGUAAAAUAUCCGACUCCUGAUCCGAUCCGAUCCGAAUCCGAUAAAUUUAAAUGGAUUAGGAUAUGGAUUUAGCUAGAUCCGAUCCAAAUCCGAUCCGUUUACAGGCCUAAUCAAAACCCUCUUCUCAUUAAACGCUUGUUAAAACCUAAAACCUCUUCCAUGUCCAAACGACGUAGUUUAGUCGUCAUAACAGAUCAGUUUUUCUGUUGCACUUUAUAUUGGGGUCGUCGUCUCGUCGACAAUGAAAAUAAAAAAUAAUACCGAGAAAUUGAAAACAAAUAAUAUCAUACUUUUUAUAUUAUGAAUAAAUUAAUUUUUAUUAUAAAAAGAAAAAUCUUAAAUUUUAAAAAUUAUUCUAAAUUCCUUUUUCCGAAUAUUGAUCAACGAUAUAUUAUUGAUUGAUUUUGCUACUAUUAAUAUUAAUAAAACUUAUAUAUAAACAUAAAACACUUUCUCUUUUUUUGAGUAAUAUACACAUAAAACACUUAAUUUUGUUAUUUGAAAAAAUAAAAUAUAUAAUAAUAAUAAUAAUCUAUACAGCGGAUCAGCGAGUAUAAAUUAUCAAAAUAACAAACACAAAAAACCUAUAAAUUACACCAAAUUAAACGAAUAAUAUUGAAUUCGAUUAUUUUGAGCAUAUUAAUUAAUAUAUGAAUGUAAAAAGUUUAGACUUGCAGAGCCUCCCGAGUUGAGCUGCAGAAACCACCGAAAUCGAGGAGCUUCCGGAGCAGCAGAAGGUAACUGAUAUUAUACACCUAUACAUACAAUUACGCAAACAUAUAUUAUAAUCGUUUGUUCUUUACACUUGUUUUGUUUUACUAUGCUUACAAUUAGCAUAAUUGUAUAAAGCCCUAGGCCCUAGCUUAAUGUUAUCCCUUUUUAUAUGUCACAUUUGCUUAUAACAACAAGGUUGAUCUUCAUUCAUUUAAUCUGGCUUAAUUUCCUCUCCGGCUCUCUGUAUAAUUCCAGAAUGUUUCCAUUAGAAUCGCGAGAUUUAAUUGAGUUUCCUUUGUAGAAUUUUUGAAAUUGGGCGGUUUUUUCGGAUAAGUUUUAUGGAGGGAGAUGUGAGUUGUGUGUCAGUGUGUAGUCCUGGUUUACGAAUGAGGAGGAUUGUUGUUAUUAACAUUUCAGAGGUUUGAGAUGUCGUUGGAUCAUGUUUGUUAUAUGUUGAGCCUUUCGGUUAACUAAUUGGACCGUAGUAGUGGAUUGUUUCACAUUAUCAACAUAUUUAAUGUAUGUCAAGUGCAAUGUUGCUUUUAAUUAAAUUGUGUCGAGUUAAGAUGAAAUUAGGUCUAUCGAGUUGUUAUGACAUGCUACGACCACAACUGUUGAAAAUAAUGAAUUGUGACGUUGUGCCAUCGUUUCUAUCUACUAGUGUAACAACACUUAAAAUCAUUCUAUGACCGAGUAAAAAGUUCACACUAAUACAUGCGGAAACCAAUAUUGGCAGGUAGAUCGUAGAUAGCAACUACAUGUAGAAGAAUGGAUCCACGAUACAUCCAGGAAACGUCCAAGUAAGCUUGUUUAAUUUCUUAAUUGUACCAGUUUAAUGGUAAAUGUAAGUCAAAUCCAUUUCAUCCUUUACAGUUAAUCACUAAAGUUCUACUACAAUUUAAAACAAAGUUGAUUAGUGAGAACUUUUAGGCAGUGUUUGUUUGCAAGAAUUAUAACUUUUCAGUUAUCUAGAAUAUUAACUCUUUUUGAGAUAUAUAACUGCUUGAAAUAAUUGUGUAUGCUACUUCUAAUCACUUUCUAAUUCAUUUCAACCCCUUUGUAUGUAUUAUUAAAUCCUUGGAAAUGAACUGAUAAUGAUUAUUUAAUUUUCUCAAUAGACAAUUCGAGAACUAAAAUAUAGUGUCAAUUCAGAACACAUAGGCAAAAAGUCCAGCAAUUAUUCUCAUGAAUCAAACAUAGUGUAAUGAGUUUCUGUUCUUUUAAGUGAAAUAUUUUGCAACUUCCAGUUGUUUCUGUAUAUUCUAUAAUAUAUAAUAAGGGGGUUGGGGUUGAUUGUAUCAAAUGUUUAGUGUUGGCAUGUUCAUAUGCAGACAUUUGGAGAAACAGCAUGAGCUCCUGUGGGAUACUUACAGAUCAAUGACUCAUGAACUGCAGAAACUUCAGGUCCGAUGAUUAAGUUUACCAUCUCUGCAUCUGCAUACACAGAGUGAUUCUGAAAUAUUAUUUAUAGCGUUAUUAAUCCCAAGCACUGACUGAAAGGUUGCUUGAUUGUUAAGGUAGAGGAAGAGAUGCUGAUGCGCAAGUUUUAUGAAGCCAUGUCAGCUCAAGGUCUGAAUAAGAAGGUGCAUCUAUAGCUUAAAGUUGAUUCCUUUUGCCAAAUAUUUAAAAGCUCUGAUUUUAUGUUUCUGUUAGGGUCAUAAUAGUUCAGACAUAAUCUGUGGACUUUAAGUUUUGUGUCUCCUUGUUAUUUUAUAGAAAAUAAAGCUAUGACCUUAUUUUAUUCCCAAGUAAGUUUAUGUUGAUCUACAUAAAUAUACAUCUUAGCUUUAUGUUGGGAUAUUUCAGUUGUAGCUUUUUAUACUCUCUUCAUCAUGUUGAACUUUUUUUUUUUUUUGGCAGCCUAGUUCAAAAAAAGACAUUCGGUAUGUAUAUACUCGGCGUCCUCGAUCAGUGAAAGUGCCUGCUAUUGUAGUGCCUUCUGAGGCAUCAAUGUCGGAUAAUCUUUCUGCUUCACCUCCUACCCCUACAACUUCUUCCUCAGAUCUUCCUGCUACCCGAAGGUAAAUUUACUUGUACUCAACAGUCAACACCUUAUUUCUGCCUCUAUGGCAUAUUCCUUCCCCUAAUGUCAUUUUCCACUGUUACUGUUUGUGUUUAGAAACUGAUCUGCUGAAAUUAAUCAGACUUUGAUCUAUUACACGAGUGGUUCAGAUUUAGUACUCAAAUUCCUGUGGUUGGUUUUAAAUUGUUCCAAUUUGUAUAUACUGCAUACCUGUAUGAUUUAAUAUACUCUUGAUCUUAUUUAUACAGGUCUAGUAGGAAGAGGAAUUGAUAACACACUGGAGACAGCAAGCAAAAGCAUGAAGUAUCCAGACCUUCAAUGCAUAAUUAAGUGUGUAUCAGUGUAUAGUUGAUUGUAGUACAUAUAGGAUGCAACUCUAAACAAUCAUGCAAACUAGGAUCGAGGAACUGUGAUAGUUCCGAGUCCAAAUAACUCUGUAAUUGGCUAUUUACUAACUCAGCUUAAUAUAAUCAUCUUCUCCUGCUAAUUAUCGUUCCCUAGUGUGUGUAUCUGCUUAUAUUACAAGUUAUAAUUUAUGAUGAUCGAUCAAGAAAAGAAGGCUACUGAAGCCUUGUCUUGAUAUUCAUAUUUUUAUGCUGCUAUCAAGUACUCUGUAUUUCAAAUUCCGAGACAUUUUCCCCUGGAUAAUAUAGCACUGCCCUAAGAUUUCAAAUAGUCGAGCCUCAACUCAGGAUGCAACAUGAUACCAUGAAAUUAUUUUCGCUUUUUAGUUUUACUCAGCAGUCUUUUGGUGGAUCCAAGUGGGGGUGAACACGGGUUGGUUCGGUCGGGUUAGAGCAAAUAACACGACCCAACCCAAUUAGUUCGGUUUUCAAAAAUUCAACCCGUUAAUCCAAAAAUAUAUGUCUAACCCAAUCUUACCCUUUUUAUAUUGGGUUGGGUUGGUUCGGGUUAGUUUGGGUCAAAAUUUUAUAUUAUCAUGUCAAAAUUUUAGAGAUUGGUCAAAAUUUAUAUUAUCAUUUCAUAUUUAUAUUUCCCAGAUCAAUCUAAUUCCACGUAUUAUGGUCAUAUUACUUAGCAAAACAAACUAAAAUACUUGAAAUACAAUCAAAUGAGACUGUAAAUAAGAAUCUGCAUGCACUAUAUUGUAACAUCUCUAUAUUUAAACAUAAAGAUCAUGCGAUAGAAAUUAAUUUAUUUGUUUUGUAUAUAAACGGAUUGGGUUGGGUUGGUUAAGGGUUAUAAUAUGUUAAACCCUGAUCCAACCCAAUUUAUUCGUGUAUUUCGAAAAUGAGCCCAUUUAAUUAUUGGUUUUGAACGAUUCAGUUUAAUCGAUUCAAAAGAGGGUUGGUUUGGGUCGGGUUUCGCGGUUUGAGUCGGUUUUGUUCACCCCUAGAUACAACUGGUAUCUGAAUAAUUAUAAUAUAGGAAAUUUACCACAAACAUUAUAAUACAAUGUAUAAUACCGUUGAACUUCAGUUAAGUAAUAAUAAUCGUUUAAUCAAUAACCUCACAGAAAUAAUAUUUUUUCUUGAUCCCAACAUUAUUAAAUUUAAAGAAUUUUUAUUAUAUUAGUAAUUAAAAUAUUCAAAAGCAUAAUUUGAAUAAAUUACAUAUUAGUAAUUAAAAUAUUCAAAAACAUUAUUUAUUUUAUCAAACCCGUUGUUUCAAAAAAUAUAAAAUCAAACCCGUCUUUUCAUCAUUAAAUUAUACAAAGCAACAAAAAGAUAUGUUAGUUAGCCAAACAAGCCCUUAGUCACCGGAUCGUGGUUUCCUAGUUUCGGAUCCGGCACAUAUACUCAGCAAUUCAUCUGUGGAUUGGGUUUGAAAAGAUGGGACCUGCGGAAGAGGCUGGGCCCAAGAUUGCUCGUCUGCUCUACUUCGUCGGCGCCGGCUGUAACUAAUCUCAAUUACAAACCCUAAUUAAGAUUAUUUAUUUUGCUGCUUCUAUUUCUAAUUCAGUUAUAUUGAUUUUUUUGUGAUUGUAUUCAGUUGUGUGUACGGCAGCUAUCAAUAAGUGGAGAGAGCUGGAGCAGAAGGCUCUCCUUAAACAACAGAAGCUCGAAAAGCCGGUGGAAAAUGCUGUUGAAUAAAUAUAUUCUUGUCUAGGGUUUUGUAAGAGGCUUUUGCAAUGCUCGUUGUUUGUUCCGUUGUGAUUGCGAUGAAUGUUUGACUGUGUGAUAAUUGUAUCGGGAAAUUGGGAUUACAUUUUGAUGCCGAUAAUGAAAAAUAUAUACAUUAAGCCUCGUUGUUCGUGCCUGGUUAGGUAAUUGCGGGUAUCCAGUGAUUAAAUUAGUAUUAGUAGUAGUGAAUAACUAAUGGAAUGAAGGGGAAUUGUGAUUGACAGCAAUAUUUUUUAUCUAUGAUUAAUGAGGAUUUGUUUAUAGUGUAAUUAUGCAGCCCUAUGAAUGCUUUAGAGUUUCUUGCUUCGGCUAUGUUGUUAAAAGUAAGCAUUUAGCAUCUGGUAGUUCAAUAAGAAGAUCCUUAGAGAACCUUGGCUUGUUCUUGGUAGCCAAAAAUAUUGAAGAAAAGAAUGUGG